rnacentral:lncRNA from 1 species
UUUUUUUUUUUUUUUGCCUACCAGGACAAUGUUAGCUCGGUGUCAAUGUACCUACGAAGGACAUGGACGUGGUGUAGAGGUCGACAGCUAGGAAAUAAGAUGUGGAGUUUGAUAGUAUUAAAAAGAACAAUUGUGUGCUAUUGCUGGUUGGGGGUUUCUUUAUAGAGCAACCACCUUGUUUAUCACGACAUGCGUAGCAAAAUUUCAUGACCCUAAAGGCUUUAGCUACAAACACAUAAACAGCUAGAAUCAUCCAGCUAAUCACUUAUACUAACAGUUAGUCAUCAGAUCUAUUUUUGUUUUUUUUUUCUAGAGCAACCACGCCAAAUCUACAUCCAAACACUUAAAAUCUACUCUAAACUAUAUCUAGUCUGUAUACCCUUCUGAAUCACCCACAAGUGUCAUUACUACUAAAAUAACUCAACGUGUCAGGGAUGUACUUAUGAAAGCAUGGGUUUAUUGACAUAACAAAAUACUAUGUAUGGCUUGACAUAAACACAAUAUUAGGCAUACAUGGAGGUGCACGAACAUUUUUUUGGUCACGAUCACACAAAAAGACUUGCACAUUUUUGUGUUAAGAGAGAAUAUCUUGACUACAACGGGGUGACAUAAAGAUUUUCAACAAAGCCGAUGCCCUCCUCGACUCGAUAUGACGCUAGCCUAUUCCUCGGUGAAGAAGAUAACCUAGGUUCUUGGCGUCGGCCAUAAAAACGAACAUAGCAUGACUGGGUAUUAGAUAAACUUGUAACUAAAAUGUAUCAACCCGGAUAUAUAUGGUGUUUAAGAAAGUUUGUGUUACACAGCAAUUUUAGUUAUUAGUUGUGUAACGCAAGUUUAUUCCAAACUUUAUAACACUCAUAGCUCUCAAUUUUACUGGUCACGUGCACCAGCACGUGUUUCAAGGAAAAUGUUGACUACAAAGACAGUUCACGAAAAUCAGUACGGGAUUUUGAAAUUCGACGUGUCAAAGGAUGGUAAUAAUGUGUUCACUAGCAUGAUGAUUAAGAACUGAGAAUAGGAGCGUUGCGCAGCCUUGUGGACUUUGUCACCAGGACGGCACGCCCAUGAUGCGAAGAGAAGGAUGGAUGAUGGGACGAGACAAAACGAUGUACCAUAUAUUUGGGCCUGAGCGUUUAAUGGGUUUUGGAAGCGAAAAAGACGUACGUAUAUACAGAUACAAUUUUUAUAUAAAAAAAACGCCAACUCUUAUUGAUAUAAUACAAACAUAUGUCUUCGGCAGCACCUUCUUUUUUCCUUUCAAUUUCAACCUCGCUGGCUGCACAAAAUCCAUGGCUUGACCAAUAACUCAAACGUUGCUAUCGGGACGGCCACGAAUGUUCUCCACGGGAUCGGGAUCACAUCAAAGACGCGACGCCCCGAAUGAAAGCACGGACGACAGGCGCCACCGAAAACGCGCACGAUAUUUCCCAAGGCGAAGCUCCGUCCCCUGCAUUUUAGCCGCCGCUGCUGCAUGCGCUUUGGAUGGAUUGCACACGAAAUUGAAACCCCAUCCACCCGACACAAAAAAACUACUGGUCGAAACGGCCACCUGAGGACCCCGAUGGAUCGGGAUCGCUCGCUUCGCUUGGUUCGGCAAUGAACGGCAGCGCCGGAAGAAGCUGCGGCCGAGGUGGUUAAACGUGGAGAGGUAACCCACGCACGCACCCGUGCCGCGCGAUGUGAGGUGUGCGUCGCGAUGAGCCCGUGGAGGCGACGGGAGCGGAGGGGGCUCGGAGCGCGCGGCCCCAGCCAACCCGGACCCCCCCGCGCCUGGAUUGCGCGCCGCGCAGCGGAUAACCCAAUCCGCGCGGCGCGGGCAGAUCUGCACGGCUCCCCCGCGUCCAGACGUAGACGCAUAUCCAUGGAUGGAGGAUGGGAUCGAUCCGUCGUCACGCGUCCGCGCACGGGACUCUCGCUUGCGCUCCCGGUCCGUUCACUCUCCACCCGUCGUCUCUCAUCCGCAGACCAGACCGUGCCGCUGUGCGUGCGUGUGAUCCGCAUGGCGACGCUUGGUUCCUUGUGUUUCGUCUACGUCUCUGGCCAGUCGGCGAGCUGGCACGCGUCCAUGUGCGAUGCACCACGCCUCAGCCGCGUCCCUCCUCCUCUCCUCCCAUCCUCCAUCCAUGAUAUGUUCCUGGUCUAUUCUCUCGAUCGGAGAGCGCCAGUCAAGCGAAGGUAGCCAGGCCUAUCUUUUAUCCAUCCAGAUCGUUUGCUUUAGCUAGCGAUAGGGCGCACGGAACAGGCCGGCCGGGCAGGCACGCUGCCGGAGCCGGGCUGCUUGCUUGCUGCUGGUCGAUCGUCUGCUGAUGUUGCCGGAUCCACCACGAUGGAUGGACAGAUACAUGGAAUUGGGGCAUCGACGGCACGCGCACGGUUUGCGCCGUAGCCCAACACUAGCAUAGCAAAGCCAACUUUGUAAUCGCACCGGGUUCCCUUGCUGGUAGUGGCGCGCGCACCGUGCGUCCGAUCUGUACCCCACUGACACGAAAUAAAAGCUGCCGGUUCGUGCGCCGUAUAUACUUCUAUCUAUCGCACAAUACAAAGUUGAGUUUAAUUUGCCGAGAAAAAGGACGGAACAUAUAUACGCGCCGAGCAGUUGCACAUGCACAUAUACUACCGGAGUCCGUCUCCGGAGAGAUCGACUUUGCUGCUGUUCCGUUUCUGUCAUGCUUACAUCAGUGGAACAACAAGGACAGGAGCUGAACGGCACCCGUACUGCACUGCUUUGCUUCUAGAUCAGCCACGUUCAGGAACGGGGUAUUAGCUAGCUAGCUAGGUUUUCGGGACGUAAGCCUCUCAAAGCAUAUGCAAUGAGCAAUCAUGUGCUUGCUAAACACUACUAAUAUAUAAGUAUACUAACUAAUGCAUUCAUAUAACAAGACCAAAAGAACAUGCAUGCUAGAGUCAUAAAGGGUAAAGGGCCGGGGUUAGUAGCAGUAGUAGUAGAGCUUUGCUUUUAAUUGUUGGGGAACAGCUGCAUCCUUCCUCCUCGUAGCGUCGAAGGUUAUCUUUCACCUGAGGAACCUCCGACGCCUGAAGCGUCGAAGGAUAUCCUUCACUGGAAAAUACUAAUGUUGACGACUCGUCUAGUCGUGCUAAGUGUGUGCAGGGACUGAGACACCGGCGGAGGCCCACAAGCAAGGAAAGGGGGGAACCUCCGACCCUCCCGGGUCCGAGGAUGGCGAGAGAACACGGCCAGGCCGAGGGACCUCCGACUCGACCAGGCUAAGGAGGAACUCCAGGGGUGGCCGGGUCGAGCAACCUCCGGCCGAGCCAGGCUGAGGAACCUCCGACACCGAAGCGUCGGAGGAUCCGCGAUUGGGCGGAGGAUCCAAGCCUCCGACCAGCUGAAGCCCCAGACAGAGGAUAAACGAAGGGCUUGCAAUGUGAAAUUACGCAGGUGACUUAGGGUCAGUAGACUGUGAUGUAAGAAUAUGCUGGAAUAUCCCCCACCGUCACGGGGUAUUUAUGUAAAUGUCGUUAGGUCGGUUUCCAGACCCUAUAUAAGGGGCGUGAUGCCGUCAUUAAUAAAGGGAGAGAGAGCAUUCACUGUGAGCCUACUGCCCGUUAGUGUUCAAACCUCUCACGGCACCGAGUGAGAAUGUUCUCGAUCCACCGUACUGCUGGGGAGUGCGGAGAGCAUUUUCCCAACAUUAAUUAACUAUGUGGCUUAUUUAGGCUCACUGUUCACGUACUACGAAACUAAAGGGUUCGGUCGAUCCGAUCCUGCAUUGCUCGCACCAAUGCAGCAGCAAAAGCCUACUACUUUGCUUGAUCGAUCGGUCGACUAGCUUGCUUGCAAAGAAAAGGAGUGCGCGUAAAAGCUCGCAAUUUAAUUGCUUCCCUGCUUGAUGCAUAGUAUGCCACAUGACAUGAUGAUCCAACGCGAAGCCGGCGGCGUCGGUGCAUGGGUGCGAUCGAUUGGUUACACCAACUCACUACUCCAGAUCCUAACCGAACCCCUCCAAAAGUUAAAUCCACAGUACACCUUGGACUCUUUUGUUUUAAUUUGGAAAAUGAAUCAAUAAAACAGAGAAGAACAUAAGCAUGCAUUUUAUGCAUAUAUACGCGUGUUACUACCAUUCUCUGCUGCGAAUUUCGUAGCCACAAAUCGCGAGGAUGAUGUUAUCACCGCCAUGAGCUCUUGACUGGCCCACAUGUUAUCCAUCCGUCCUUGGUUAAGCUACCCUGAAAUGUGUGGUGUCAGAUCAGCGAAGAAAUAAAGCUCACUGUCAGUAGGUGUGCCCACGGCGCCAUAAUUAAACUAAUAACGAACCCUCUCCGCUACAAUACAUCGCGUCUCAACGAAACAGAGGGCGUUAAGUUUUAUUCAAUGGGAGGAUAAUGGGUGCAAGCAAUGCAGGACGACUGUUCAUGCUCGUGAUUAGACUGCUUGAUGACAUGUACAGCGACGUACGGUAUUACCCGUCCGGUCCGUCUCUGCCAGAAAAAAGAAUGCCGUCCAAACAACUACCAUGCGUCCGUCCAUGCCAUCUAGAAAAAGUAGUUACAGACGCACUGCAUUGCGUUGGUUUGUGAAGCACCACUGGCCGGUGAUUUUUAUUUAUCCAGUUCCUGUCCCUUAGUAGAAUUGAUUGAAUUGAACAUGGUUAUUUUUAGUUACAUUCUAUUUGACCAGUAGUAACACUAGCCCAUCACUUAUUAGAUUUCAUAUUUUCAUUGCUUGCAAAGCCUGCCGAUGACGGUGUCCACAUCGGGGCUGUUUUCAAUCGUUUCGCGUUGCAAAAGCCCAAUUCGAAAUGAAUUCCCGGUGACUUGAUCGAGCUCGAUUGAAGCCGACAUCGGAAUUAUAUUGCGUCCUUGUCUCUCCCGGUUUCAGCCGUAAAGUUAAAUGGUAGAUUUGUCAUCGCAUGGCAUAAACCGUCAUGCGUUAGACAUGGUCUUGAAUCGUAAUUUUAUUUUAGUGUUUGUGUGAGACCAAAAGAGUUGGCAUAAACUCCCCAAGUUGGAGUUUCAUAAUGGGAGUUUAGUUUGGCAGGGAUGAAGAAUAUAUGGGCUUUGUCUAGAUGUGAAAACUUUUUAGAUUUCGCUACUGUAGCAAUUUCGUUUGUUUGUGUCAAAUAUUGUCCAAUCAUAGGCAAACUAUGUAAUUAAUUUUUAUUUUCGUCUAUAUUUAAUGCUUUAUGUGCCGCAAAAUUUGAUGUGACGGGAAAUCUUAAAAACUUUUUAAUUUUUGGUGUGAACUAAACAAGGCCAUGAUCUGAAAGUAACCUACCCGAUAUCCGGUUGGUGUACAUAUAUAAUAUAUCUACGGAACAGCAAAGAACUGUAUGAACUUUGCCUCCAUAAUACCGUGCCAGUAGAUGCGAUGGAUUACGAACUUCAGACAAGAUCUUUCUUCUUCUGUUCUCCCGUCUCCGAUCCAGGAAUUAAGCAUGCACUUGAGCCAAAGCAAAUAAAAGGUGAACAGAAAUCAGAGACGUUUAUUUCUAUGCCAGAACAGUUCGUAGUUGCAGCGCUCCUGAGAAGCAUAUGUCCGUGUUCUGUGUAGUGUUUUUCUUUUUUUUUUGAAUAAUCUGUGUAGUGUUUUUGGACCACAGUUGACAGUCCCAUUCGGAGAUUGUAGGGUUUGGUCGCCGCCGCCUAAGAUGUUACUAUCGGCUAAUAUAGUGCAAGGCGAUGUACGUUCACAUCUCUGCUCCUUCCCGUGUCAAGAUUCCAGCUGUAGUGCUGUAGUGCACAUUUUCUCCAUGGAAUCAGAGAUUCACAAGAAAGGCAAACUCUUUCCUCUCUUCUUUUCCUGCUCUUAGAUCUGUCAUUCUCAUCGAGAACCCGCAGUUGGAACACUAAAAGCUUUCAAUGUAAAGACAGUCACUAGUAGACAAGUUCACAAACUCCUCAUCAACAUUUUUAAUUUAGGUCAACUAGCUGGCAGUUUUUUGUCUGUAUUAAAAAAAAUAAUUAGCCCAUUUUAUUGUAUCUUCCCAUUAAAUGUGAAGCUAAUCCAUUGUUGCACAUCAUUGUAUUCUAUUGCAUAUAAUCUAGUGUGGCACUAAACACAUUCUUGGACAUGUCAAGGUAACUUGCAAGAGUUGGGAUGGUGGACAUAUCCAAGAAUGUUGCUUUCAUGUCCUGCGAAAAAGCCCUGAAACCGUGGCAACCUAUGCUUUCAUGAGGGGCCGGCCUCACAGAAAAAGCAGGAGAAGGCUGCAUAUGGGAGCCAAACCUACCACAAUCUGCAAAGACCAACUCUUGAAACCGCAACCUAAUGACGAUCCAAAUUAGGUUUUGGGCGGUCAUUAUAGCCAGCCAAGGUUACCUAAAAGAGGUGUUUAAUAAUAGGGAGGAUAGAUAGAUUUAUAUAUAACUAUAUAGCAGGCAUGCAUGGCAACAUGACGGCCGGUCUAUAUAUGCAAAUGCAAGCAACAAAGAAGAUGAAGAUAUAUAUCACUGCUACUCCGCUAGCUCUAGCUCUAGCUCCACCCCAAUCUUAGGAGGAGACAAGCCCUUUUUGUUAAAUCAUCGGCGUCAGAUCAGCGUGGAAAACAGACGAGAGCAGGGGUAGAGACCAGAGAGGAGGAUACUUGCAAAGGUGGUGAACGUGGGGUUCAUGUUACAUUGCCACUGAGAGCGAGAGGUCAUGGCGGCCAGCGCUUUGGAGGCGCCGGCAUUACUGUCACUGUGCUUUUAAUAAGUGUGGAUUGACACGGCCAGCCAGCGAUUAGGGCACGCAUCGAUCUCGUCUGAUUAGACAUGACGUCUCCAUGGCUUGAAAAGGAGACCAUCCAGGGUAUAAUUAUUGGGCCGGGGGCUAUAACACGAACUUGUCUAUGAGGUUAACAUGAUCAUGAUGGUUUAAGGUUUUCAUAUCCAGCCAAUGAGCAUGCUGCAUGUGUUGUUUGAUGCAGAAGCUAUGAUUGGUCUCUGCUUCUCUGUUAGUAAGCCGGCCCUAGGUCUUGGUUUGUGAUUGUUGUUGUUUGAGAGCCAUCAAAGGAUCCAAAAGCGCAUCUUUUAUACUUAUUUUGGAAGAGUUUUGAGGAUCUGUGUGGCUCUGCCAUCAACCAAGCAUCGGAUUGGAUCGGAGCAGCAGUAGUUUAGUACGUGGUUGCACGAGUUAGCUGUAGCAGCUGUGUGCAGGUGUGCCUAUGUAGAUUAAUCAGGCCGCCCUUGCACUUUACUUUAAUUAAUUAGCUCCAUGAUUCAUGCCAAUUCACUCUCACGUACAUAUACAAAUGAAAUAGUGGAACAAACAGAUGCAGCGGGCAGCUUGGUGCUUCUUUCUUUUCUUUUCUUUUUUUUUGAAAUCAAGAGAGACAGAGAGAGAAUCUAAAGGAAUAGGGGAGGAGAAGACUAGUAGUUGUGCUUUAGCUUUGCUGACCUAAUUCCUCACGCCCGGAUACUGGUUCAGAAACUGCGGGAACGCGGCAGCAGAAAUGCGUGCCUGCAUCUGCUCCACCAUGCCCGUGCUUAUCUGCCUGCAGUGACAUGACUUAGCUAUUGAUUAGUGCUAACCACUGCGUGCUUUAACAAAUGCAGGCUUUAAUUUCAGUGCCUCUGACGACGAACAAUACAAGCCUCUGGACUCUGAACCCUUAGCUUGCUUGUGGUGGAAAAAAGAUUAUGAAGGAUAAUUGAGAGGAAUUAAUGGAUGAUGGUUCUGUGGAUGACGUGGAAAAUGCGGCGUCUGUCAGUAGUACUUGCUUAGACUGCACGGCGCGAAAUAAUCUGUCAAGAUGAGAGGAGAGGAACUGUCGUAAUUGAAAUUGGAAACACAAUGAUAUACACGCAACAAAAAAAUAAAUGGUCGAGGAAGGAUUUGGAUAACUUGGGAAAUUUUAAAAAAAAAGCCGAUCCAUCGGUGUUGCUGUCUGUCAGGAUCAUUCAUAACUGGCUGAUGAAGAAUAGUACAAAGCUGCCGUUCCACUUAGUACAGAUACAGAUACGUACAAGUACAGACCCGCUUAAUGAAGCUGGAAACCGUUGAACACAAACUACUAAUCUAUUGUUCCAGGUAUAUAUUUCAAAGGCAUCAAACCCAAUCAUGAUAAGGACUAGCUUCCUGACACAAGUAACUAACCAGAAGACUCUACAAUUUUUUUUUUUGUAGAGUAUAUGUAUAGCCUGAAGCUAAGGUGAUGACCUCUGACCAGUCCUUCCGAUGUGCUAGCUGACACUACCACCACAACCUCUCUCUGAUCGUAUGCAAAGCCAUAUCAUUGUAAAAACACAGUGGGGGUAUGCCGUAUGCGAUCUCCAGACUAGAGUACAGUUCAUGUAAAAACACAGCUCCAAUUCUAUAUCUAUGGGAGACAUGUUGGGUCUAAGAUCUUUCUAUGCUUGCAUACCAGGACAUUUGAUAUGUUCAGUUCAAAGCAUGAUGCUCUCAUAUCUAACUGAACGGCUAAACAAAUGGGAGACGAUGUCAGUCUGAGCAUGGAACUGAACCUGCCCCCCAAUACUUUGGAAGGGUAAAUUCUGACAGCAACGGAUGAAGCUGCAGUACUAUUCUGUUGUAAGUAUCUAUGGCUACAUAGGCCCAUGUCAUGGCUACACUCUAGGAUAACAAUCUUAAUGAAUGCCGCAUCGAGACAGCGGGGUUAAACCUUAAACAUGCGAUUAAAAUGGCUAAAACAAGAGACCAAACUUGAUCUGCAACACCUACUACCCUGGAACUGGAAGAAAAAUAACCCCUCCUCGAUCGAUCUCAUUCGUUGGUUCCCCCGUUACUUUGCUGCACCCUUUGUGAUGAGUUGUAACAUACUGACAUGAGCACACUGUGCUCGACAUUUCAAUGACGUGGAUGUGUGCGCAUCUGAUGGUGAGAGGACGAGAGAGGGAGAGAAAGAGCACGCCGCAGGGCAGGGCAAGGAUAGACGCAGACGCGCACAUACACGCACCCGCCGGAGCGCACAUGGUGUCACGUCCCCCUAAAAUAAUACAGCGGAAGGACGCAUCAGGGAGAUCGUGACGACCAUGAUUAGACGAGUGAUAACGCACUCGCUCGAUCUGGGGGCUCAUCCGAUCUUCUGGCGAUGAGCUGCUGCUGUUGACGCUGCCUGUUCAUGCACUGAAGAACAGGCUUUUUGUUCCGUGACGAAGAACGUAACAGAGAUUAUUGGAUUUUUGGCGAGCACGAACAGGACGAUGUUUGAAAGAACGAGCGAGCAACCUAGCUACCUCCAUGGUUAGGUCAAUGGGGAGCUGUUGAUGGAAACAAAGCAAGCAUUCUCGAUGCUUCAUGAACGCAAUUGGAAAAAAGAAAACCUCCGGAUCAGCAGCAUCACGAGCAACUGGUGAUUGGUUUCAGUGACACGACCCUUUUUGACUAGCAAGCAAACGGAUGGUUCAGGAUCAGAGAAGAGCCGGGCUUUGCUGAUGGCAGAAAGGAGUUCUGAAACUAUUGCCGUACAGUAUAUGUGAUCGUAUUGGUUAGGUUUUUCUUCAGCAGAUUCAGGUAGGUGCCAGUAGAGGCUCACAAACCAGCUGGAGAAAAAACAAAUCCCAUACAGAUACACGACGUGUGCAUCCAAGAAAUUCAGUCCAUGUGCAUGAUUUUGUUCUCCUGAACAGGAGAGGGAUGAGAUGGGAACUAUGAUUACAAAUGCCUCUGCUGCAGGCUUUUAUUCUCUGUAAAGAAAAAAGGGAAACGGAUAAAGGAGCACCCCAUGAUACCAGCAUAUCAGCCAGCAGUUCAGCACUGCUCCAAUUUUUCAGAAAGAAAAAAAAAAGAGAGAGAGAAUGAUGAAAGUUAUUACUACUAGUGCAAUGUGCAGAGAUGAAUGAUUUCACAGUCUCAGCUUUGUUUCCCUGACAUUUGCACGUUCCAGGAAUGUUGACAAACAAACUUCACAGUGCUAUAGUAGACUAGUGAUGUGCUUAUACGAAUUACUCUUCAGAACCAAGCAUGUAUAAAAACCAUUUGUCACUUGCUCAAAAGAAAAGAUAGCUUAAGAAACUCCAGGAGCUGUUAAAUUUUUCGCGAACAAGGCUGAAGCAGCCUGUAUUUAGGAGCUGUUAAAUUCGGAGCUGUCAGCAUGCAUGGGGGUUUGCAUGCAAAUAGACGCCUGACUGAUCUAAGCAGACGCAGUACACACCGAGCAACUAACUAACCCUCCCCUGAUAAGUUAAACAACAAGAGAGUAGAAUCACAAUAUGCAACAGCAACUGCUGCCAUCUGCUGUAGUUGCAGUGCAUGCAGGACCAAGCAAUAUAAUGCACCACUGUUGGAGCAGCUUGUCGUCUGUUAACUAACCUCGAUUCAGAUCGGUGACGCCCAAAAAGCGCAUUGUUAAUCCAGAAAUGACCAGACGCUUUUUGUACGAAACUGGAUUAGGUUCCAGACAGACUCGCAAAGAUUAAGGCUUUACAAAUCACCAUUGUGGUAGCAACAAACGGGAGAAGCCAAGCGCGUGUGUGACUGGAAUUUGACACAGCUCUGAGCUCUGACAUCAGGUUGAGCUGUUAAAUUUUGACCGCGUAAUCAGCGGCAUCACAAGUCCUGUCCCGAAAGCAACCCCUGCCAGUGCCAGCAGGUAAAGUGUAUACAGUCGGAUCGGUGCUGCAUCCAGCGCCCUGUCCACGUCGGCCGUAGCAUAAUUGAUGAAUAUAAAAGCCAGGCUUAGUCACUGAAUGAAAUGCUAAAAUCGAUCGAUCUCAGCUCCCGGUUCUGUCGUCAGGACUCAUCAGGACAAUGUGUCAUCUGUCUGCUUGUGGCGACUCUGUGUGUGUUUUCCAUGCUGAACAAGCGUGGAAAACAACAAGGGCAGCUACCCGUGUAUAGAGUAUAGACCCCAGACCUAAUCACCUAACAUAGCACCUACUUCUUGCAUCCGAAUUCCUACCACUGUACCACAAAUAUAUAUGUUGUUCGCACAUAGUACUGUAUAUAUAUAUAUGUCGUGUCUGAUGUCUCGAAAUGUCUUGUCACUGCAAUAAUCAUUAAAUCAGUGACAGGCUUAAUUGUAGAUCGCACACGUUGAAAUCCUUGCCCAGAACAUGCCAUUUUUUGAAGUCACAGCACGGAAUUGGGUGCCAAUUCCUUCUCUGCCUCUUCCUUCCAGCCGUGGAAGUAGUGGCCCGGAGGUAUAAAUUCUGAAAGCAACCUAGCUAGCUGAAGAUCGAUUAUUAGGUGCAGAUCAUAUCGUGCCACAGCAGCACAGAUGCUCUCGAUCUACUGAAGAACAGCACAGAUAUAUACCUAAUCUUUGAGUCCUGCCACAUGCAUCUCCGGAAAUUCCCAGCACGGCAGCACUCAACUAGCAUAUAUAGGAACAGAUACUUUACCAGAAAAGAGGUUUUCCCUUGUGCAUCGUGUUCUCUGAUGAGAAACAGUCACUGCAGGCAAGAAGCUAAGAACAGCUAGGUUAGAUGUUAACAGCGCAUGGAAAUAUGCAAUGCAACAAGCGAGAUACGUCCAAGACGACAAGAGACGAUGGAAAAGACGUCGUUUCCGACAAUGGUGACUGUGCACAGGGCACUUUGCAGUUCCUGGACAGCAACCUUAUUGGUAUUUUUAGCCGGAGACGGCCGGGGCCGGUUGAGUAUCCGGCGAGUCUACCGCUAGUCAACGGCCGGCAGCUAGCUGCUCCUGCUGCGCUCUGCAGCGAGCGAGGCGCCAUCAACGACGACGAGCCCGGCAGGCACCGCCAUGGUGUCACGGCGGCGUAAAAUAAUGCGGAUUAGCAAAGCCGGAACUGAUUAAAAAGCGGCGCCUGGGCUGCAUGAUUAGGGCGCUCGGGCUGGGUCAACACUGUUGCCGGGGUGGGUUAGCGUGCGGGAGAGGGAAAGCACAAUCACAGACAGACAAGAUGGCCUGCCGCUAAUCUGGCCAUUAGCGGAGCAAGACCUCCUAGCCUAAUCGCUGUGUCCUUCUGUAUUUUGUAUUAUAGUCUUAUCAUAGAGGGGAUGAGGGAUGGAUGGACUUUUUUUUUUAUAGGCUUCUUUUGUGCAGUAGUGGUGCGGUGCAUGCUGCUCUCCGUUGCUGGCCUGCUACUUCUUGUUCCGGUGGCGUGUAGCUAGCUUGUAGGGAGGGAGUAUGUGAGUCGUGGACAGUUGUUCAUAUUAUGCACAUUAUGCCUUGCUUGUGGGUUUGGAACGUCCUUCGAAUCAUUGAGGUCUUUCAAUCAUUCUUUAACUUUGAGAGGCAGGAAUCCAGGGGAUUAUAUUGGAGAAAAUAUCUGUAGCUUGCUGCAUUGGGCCUUGAUGUUUGGUGUACAGGAUUAGAAUAUAGGGGUUUGAAAACUGAAGGUCCACCCAAUAAAGAAUCAUGUAGCUCUUUCUUAGUUUAUGGACACACUCUACAAGGGUGGUCAAUGCUAUUAUGGAACUCAAACCCUUUUAAAAGCACAAGAAUGGCAACUAGGUCUUUGAGUAUAGGACACAUUGCUUGGUCUCGGAGAUGAAGAAAGAAAUAACCCUACUUCACCGCAUGGUUUCUGUCGACGAAAGCUGGUCGGCAGUCUACCUUGGGGUAUACCCACGGUAGUAGUUUAUCGGUAGACGGUGCGCAAACUACGAACUCGAUGGUGACGCAAGACACGGACAAGCUUUUUAUCCAGGUUCGGCCGCUGAGUUGGCGUAAUACCUACGUCCUGCGUCUGGUUGUAUUGAUUUGUGUUGAGAGAAUAUGAUGUGUCCUAGGGGGGUCCCUUGCCCCUCCUUAUAUAGUCUGGAGGGCAGGGUUACAGAUCUGGAAACUAAUCCUAGUCGGUUACAAUUGCCAUGGAUAAUUUGAUAUCAAUUCCUAUUCUAACCGACUAGAAUCCUGCUUGAUCUCCACAUCUUGUUUCCUUGCACAAAACUCCAAGCUGUCGGAUCAAGCCUUGAACUUGUCUCGUAAUGGGCCAAGCCUCCUGGCCCAAGUCUAGCCGUAAGGGUAUAGGGGUUUAUACCCCCACAGCUAGUCCCCGAGCACCAUGUAUUGUGAUGUAACACGCCGUCUUGAGCUUCUUCGAUCAGUGAGGCUUGACGUCUUCAAUAAGCAGGAAAGUCGCCCGAACAGUUGCAACGGUAUUUUGACCAACUUAAAAGACAGUUGAUCAACAUUGACAUCGAAGAAGCAGGUUGUUCGAAGAAUGCAUGGUGCUCCUAAUUAAAAAAGAUUUCUUUCCUGGUGAAGUGUGCCCACUUUACUUUUCUGAAAAGUAUAGACCUCAAAAAAGCAAGCAUAUUCACCGCAAGGUGAAGUGUGCCCACUUAGUCCCGAGCCUGGUAGUAGGUGACGUAGGCACGUGGUGCCAGGGUCAAAAGAAAAUUCCCCAAAGUAGUUUUGAGACUGAGAUGCAUCGCUAGAUGCAUCGUACCGAUGUAGUCCCCGAGCUUGCUGGAAGGCGAAGUAUGAGCCUUGUAGCAAGGUCUAAAAAAAUUGAAUUUACCAGUCCCCGAGCAUAUCAUGCUCGUCUGCAAUUGAAUAGACUAAUCGACCAGUCCCCGGGUGUAUGACGACCAGUCCCCAAGCACCAAGUGUGCUCCUUAGAAUUCUGCGUUGCUAUACUGUACGACCAGUCCCUGAGCAUCGAGUGCUCGGUGGUCAGUGCAGUCUUUGAAGUUCCGAGCUGAUAGACUGGGCGACCAGUCUCCGAGCGUCGAGUGCUCGGUGGUCGGUGCAGUCAUUGAAGUUCGGAGCUGAUAGUCUGGGCGACCAGUCCCCGAGCGUCGAGUGCUCGGUGGUCGGUGCAGUCCUUGAAGUUCCGAGCUGAUAGACUGGGCGACCAGUCCCCGAGCGUCAAGUGCUCGAUGGUCGGUGCAGUCCCCGGAUUGUUGACUCUCUGGCAUGUUUGUCUUCUUUUUAUUGAAACGAUCUUUUCAGUUAAAGUUGACAUGACGAGACCUCCUGAUGGGUUGUCAGAUGGACGCAUGAAAAGUUGAGCCUGGCAACUGUACAGUCGCCCUUUGCGUGGUUUUAGAAAAAGGGAACCACCAAUUGGUACGAAAACUCCGCCGCAUUAAUUGUCUAUAAUCAUUAUAAACCGAAACGCCGCAUCCGCCGCAUGGCCCGCCCACUUCCCGAGAAUACGGGAAGUGGGAGAGCUGGAGUUGCGGGUUAUAAAAGCCCGACAGUUCCGCCUGUACUCCUUACCCUGCCAUUGCCCUCAAGCCUUCCAUUUUCGCCUCCUUCAAUCACCUGCAUCUUCGUAACCCAAAUCCACUUCUCACCUCCAAUGGCGAAGAGCAACGCCAAGAAGAGGGCUGAACUGAUGGCCAAGGAGUGGAAGAAGUCCCGCAGCACCACCAAAUCCCUCGGUGACCUCGUCGACAUGGGACUCCUGCACAGCUCGGAGCUCGGCGGCUGGAGAGCACCGGAAGGAGAAAGCUUCCCCGACCCUCGUGCCGGUGAGAUCGUCGUGUUUGAAGAUUUCGUUAAGAGGGGCUUUGGGGUUCCGGUUCAUCCUUUUCUCCAAGGUCUUCUUCUGUAUUAUGAGAUCGGGAUUUGCAAUCUGCACCCGAACUCAAUUCUCCUUAUUUCCACGUUUAUUCAUCUGUGCGAGGCCUAUGUUGGCAUAGAGCCGCACUUCAAUCUUUUUCGUUACCUUUUCUGCUUGAGGAAGAAGGGAGCAGUUGGAGGCUCCAAGGUUGCAGGUGGAGUGUACCUCAACCUUCGUGAUGGAAUGAAGAAUCACUACCUGCACUGUCCAUGGAACACUUCCUUGACCGAAUGGUAUAGGAAGUGGUUCUACGUCAGGGAGGAACCGGGCAGCUCCACGUUCUACGACGUGGGGUACAUUCCCGAGAAGAGGGUAAGCUGGACCGACCGCCCGGAGUUCGACGGUCAAGUGGCGGAUCUGAUGAAGUUGAUCGACUGGUCGCGCCUGGAUGGGCUUGGCGUGGCCGGCAACUUCAUUUGUCGUCGGGUGAUGCCCUGCCAGAAGAGGGUGCACUCGGCGUACGAGUAUUCCGGAAGCGUGGACCCGACCAGGAUGCGACCGGAGAUCUUGGAGAAGGCGGAGGUACAACGGCUGUUGAACGAGCUGUUCAACUUUGCGGACGGAGGCUUCAUCCGCGGCAGUGAUCGGGUGCAAGCCUUCAAGUUAGGCCGACCAGCACCAAAGGUAUCUUGCAGAGUAUUUUGUUUUAGCAUUCGUAUAUCGUCUGUAGCUGACUCAUCUUUGUUGCUUUUGCAGAUCGGCGAUGUCGACCGGUGCACAGUGUAUAUAUCACUGGCACCGGGGAUGGAGAAUCCUGCGGGAGAAGACUUGCCAGAAGGCAAUGCUGCUAGGUGUACUCGUUACACCAGCAGUGAGGAGGAACAAGCCCGCCCCGUCCCGACCACCGAGGAGAGGGUAGCGGGGAAAAGGCCAUUGCCGGCAGAUCCCUUGCCGACACCGAUGUUGCCGGCAGAUCUACCGGCGGAGAGCAGCCAAGCGCCGAAGCGUCGUCGGCUCGUGCGGAUCGUUGACAACGACGACGACGAGGAGGAGGCUGCGCCGUCGUUAGUCCGACGGCCUCGGAGCCGCCCAGAUAAUGCGCCGGCCGCUACUGAUCGAGUGGCCAGCGACCCCCCUGCACCGCAAGUUGUCGAGAUGGGGGCGCAGGUGCCGACCGGCCGGGCGAGGAGGAGGUUCACCGCGACCCAUCGUCGAUCAGACCUGUAAGUGUUCGACUUACGUAUUUUGGACUCCUCUUUGCUUUUUUUUUAAAUUACACUUUUGUUCCUGUAGUGCGGCGUCAGAUGUCGACCCCGGCCAGGCUGCCAGCCAGGGGACGGGCGAGCCUGUCCGCGCUGCUGAAGAUACGGCCCCCCAGACCACAGAGCAGCCUACAGCUGCAGCCGCGCCUGGGAGCACCGAGGGGCUCCCGACCGCGGCACCGACUACGACAGGCAGCCCGACCAGGGCUGAAGAGGCUCCCCCAGCUGGCUCCACAGAAGAGGAGGGAAGAUCCCCGUCCCCUCCUCCUGUCGGGGGGAGUGAAGUCCCCACGCCGCCCCGAGCAGGAACCUCUUCGGCUGCAGGCUCCCCAGGUCUGGUCCGAGGACCAGUAAUGCCUGGGACCACCACCGGGGGUGACGCAGCGCAGGAGGAGAAACCCGGGCGGCCUCCGAUGACGAGGUGGAAGAGAUUGAGGGUCGUCCCCGUGAUGGCCGCCAACACGUGUAUGUGUGGCGCCAACGCGGGGAUCACUUUAUCGGGCAUGAGGAGCUCGCCGAGACCGAGGAGGCCGCCAGGGUGGAGCGCGCGGCCAAGCGCCUCGUCGACGAAGUCAAGGUAAGCGACUUUUUGUACUGCUGUACAUUCUAUGCCUUGUCUUGCAUGGUCGUUAUAUGCUCGCUUUGUAGGGCGCAAUGAGAACGACAAAGUACCGGAAACGGUGCUUUGACCAGAUAGAAGGCGUCGUGGCCGAGAACAAGGCCCUUGCCGCGGAGGUAGACCGGCUGCGGUCGGAAGUCGGGGAGAAGGUGGCCGAGAUGAGUGCCCAAGAGGAGCGUCGUCUCGACCUCACUCGUCGCUUGGCCGACCAGUACCGGCAGCGAGAAGGUUAGUCACACGCUCCGAGUAGCUUUGCGUACUUGUGUAGCUUGCUUUACUGACCAGUUUAUGAUUCACGCAGGCUUGGAGGAGGAGGUGGCGCGCCUCCGACAAGAGAAGGAGCAGCUCAGCCAACAGCUCGCCGGUGCGCUGGAGUCCGGGCGGCGAGCAGGAGAGGAAUUGGGUCGAAAGGACCGGAAAUUAUCUGGUAAUGGGUGCCGCCUUGUUAGCUGCUGCUUGUCGCCUCUUUGUUUGUUUGGUAUGCCGAAAAUAACGCUUUGUUUCGUUUGCAGUGCUCAAGGUGAACGCCAAGAAGCACCUGGAUGAUCUGAUCAAGGACCGGGACUCCUGGAAGGUCAACUGUUGCAGGAUCUGGAAAGGAGUGUCCCCGGUCCUAGACCUGAUCAGUCCCGAGCUCCCGGAGAGCCAGCCCCGCGCGCCGCAGUUGACCCCGGUCGAGAAGGCGCAACGGGCGUGGGACUAGCUCCAGCAGUUCGUGAAGGACGCCGGGGAGUUUGCCGGCGCGCACGUCCUCAGCAUGGUGCGCGCCCACUACCCCCUGGUCGACUUGAGCAGGCUGGAGAAGGGGUACCCGAAGGAAGUCGGCCCACAGGAAGCGGACGAGCUUCGGGGUAGUCUGCUGGACUUGUCGUCGACAGUGAUCGGCGACAUCAAUCUGUGCGGAACGGCCACUCCCCCAGACCAGCCGAGUUCAGAUAGGUCGGCCAGGGAGUUGUCGGGCGCGUCCGUUGCGGGAGAUGGGCGGUCGACGCCUGCGGUCUCGACCAGCCAGGCGCCGGUGGCCCCGACCCCUUCGUCCGGGCAGCAGGGCCACGCGGGUGAUCAGCCCGAGCAGCUAGGCCAAUAGAGUAGUCUGUAGGAAUAGACUAGUGUCUGCCCGUCAGGGUAUUUAUUGUAAACUUUGUAUGUAAAGUUUGUAAUAAAGUUUGCUUUUUGUCAUGACUGUUGUUUUGAGCGCUGUAAGAAUAUCUGAGUGACGUGUCACCGUAUUCGUCUUGGUAGUCGUUAAGAGCAUCCAUUGCAGGAGUUUUGCCGAGUGCUGUGUGCGACAAGGUAUAGGCAAAAAAUAGAGAAUUUCAUUAUCAACAAUUAUAAGAUACUUACAAAGGAAAGUUAUUAAAACUUUAUGGAUAGAAACGUCGCAGUUUGUCGAUGUGCCAAGAGUUAGGCACCCGUGUUCCGUCUGGGUAUGCCAAUCUGUAGGACGUAGGUCGUGUGACCUCGGUCACCACGAAGGGUCCUUCCCAGGGAGUGGAUAGCUUGUGCAUUCCCUCCUGGCUUGUUUUCCAUCUAAGUACCAGAUCGCCGACCACGAAGGAACGGUCCUUGACGUUCCUGUUGUAGUAUCGCCUGACUGCCGCGAGAUAUUUUGCUGUUCGGAGACAAGAAUCUAAACGUUUUCCUCCAUGCAAUUGAUUUCGAGUUCUCUGGCGUUGUCGGCGGUCGCCUGGUCGAAGUGUUCGAUUCUAGGAGAUCCGAAGUGUAUGUCAGACGGCAGGACCGCCUCUGCGCCGUACACCAUGAAGUAGGGAGACACCCCUGUGUUUCGACUGGUCUGAGUUCGGAGGCCCCAGACCACUGCCGGCAAUUCUUUCAUCCAUCGACCGGGUGCUCUGUCGUUUUCGGUGUACAACCUUUUCUUUAGGGCGUCAACGAUCAUUCCGUUAGCACGUUCAACUUGACCGUUGGCACGUGGAUGUGCCACUGACACGUAUUUAUGACUAUGCCUCUGUCAUCGCAGAUGUCCCAAAAAGUGGUGCCAGUAAACUGAGUGCCCAGGUCGGUGAUUAUGCUGUUCGGGAUGCCGAAUCUGUGUAUGAUUUGAUUGAGGAACUCCACAGCCUUCUCGGAGGUUGCCUUGACCAGGGGCAUGUAUUCAAUCCACUUGGAGAACUUGUCGAUUAACACGAAGACAAACUUGAAAUUGCCCGGGGCUGGUUUAAAUGGCCCGAUCAUGUCAAGCCCCCAGCAAGCAAAGGGCCAAGACGACGGGAUGGUUUGAAUUUCAUGGGCAGGUACGUGGGUCCUCUUAGCGAAAAACUGACAUCCUUCGCAAUGUCGAACCAGUUUUUCUGCGUCGCCGACCGCGGUUGGCCAAUAAAAACCUGCUCGGAAAGCCUUUCCGACCAGCGUUCUGGAUGCGGCGUGAUUGCCGCAGGAUCCAGCAUGUAUGUCCUCUAAGAGCUUGAUACCAUCAUCUUGGGGUAUGCACUUGAGCAGUACUUCGGAGCUUGCGUUUUUCCGCAUGAGUUUUCCGUCGACUAGGAUGUAGUUCUUUGAUCGUCGAAUGAGGCGCUCGUUCUCUGUUUUGUCCUGAAGGCCUAUCCCAUCCGAUAUGUAUUUGAUGAACGGGGUACGCCAGUCACGCCCACCGGUUGUCGGAGUGGCGUCGUCUAUGAGCAUUGCCUCGGUAGGUUGCUUGUCGACCAGAGAGGAGCCUACGCUCGGCUCGUGGAUGUCUUGGACGAAAAUACCCCGCGGGAUCUGGGCCCGAGAUGAGCCUAACUUCGACAACGCAUCUGCUGCUUGGUUCUUAUCCCGGACCACGUGGAUGUACUCUAUGCCGUAGAAGUUGGUUUCCCAUUUGCGAAUUUCUUUGCAGUAGAGAUCCAUCUUCUCGUGGGUUGCGUCCCACUCCUUGUUGAGCUGGUUGAUGACCAAAGCGGAGUCGCCAUAGACAUAGAGUCGCUUGAUUCCCAGCUCAACGGCUAGUCUUAUGCCAUGCAAGCAUGCUUCGUAUUCGGCGACGUUGUUUGACGCCGGAAAAAGGAUCCGAAGGACGUAACGCAGUUUGUCCUUGUUUGGUGAUACGAACAGUAUCCCAGCGCCGGCACCGCUGAUGUUCAAGGACCCAUCAAAGAACAUUGACCAGUGGUGUGAGACAUCGGGAACGGGGGGCUCAUUGAGAUCCGUCCAUUCAGCAAUGAAAUCGACCAGGGCCUGAGACUUGACCGUAGUUUGGCUCUGGAACUCCAGCGAAAAUGGGCACAAUUCCAUCGCCCAUUUCACAAUUCUGCCAUUGGCGUCUUUAUUGCGCAGGAUGUCCCCGAGAGGGAAACUGGUUGUCACCAGGACUCGAUGGCCGUCGAAGUAGUGCUUCAGCUUUCUUGACGUUACCAGAAUGGCAUAUAUGAGCUUCUGUAUUUGUGGAUACCUGGCCUUGGACUCGUUUAAGACUUCACUUAUGAAGUAAACGGGUCUCUGGACCUUGUAGGCGUGACCUGGUUCAUCUCGCUCGACCACUAUUGCCGUGGAAACAACCCUGUCGGUUGCAGCAAUGUAAAGAAGUAGGUCUUCAUUGGGCUGAGGCGCUGUGAGGACAGGUGGUGAAGUGAGGAAGGUCUUAAGCUGAGUGAACGCAGCGUCGGCUUCCUCUCUCCAAGAAAAUUUUUCUGACGCUUUCAAUAGUUUGAAGAAAGGGAGGCCUUUUUCUCCCAGCCUUGAGAUGAAACGACUGAGGGCGGCCAUACAUCCGGUUAGCUUCUGAAUAUCCUUGACGUUCUUCGGUGGUCGCAUGUCGAGUACGGCUUUGUCUUUUGAAGGGUUUGGUCGCAUGCCGUCGCGACUGACGACGUUGCCGAGCAGUAGACCGGAAGGAACGCCGAAAAUGCAUUUCUUGGGGUUGAGCUUCCACUUGUACCUAUUGAGUGCCUUGAAAGUUCGGUCUAAGUUGUCGAUUAGGGUGCUCGCGUCCCUUGUUUUUACGACCACGUCGUCCACAUAGGCCUCGACGAGGUCAUCACGAAUCUCGUCGUGGAGGCAUUGCUGGAUGGCCCUUUGAUAAGUGGCUUCGGCGUUUUUGAGUCCAAAAGACAUGGUCGUGUAGCAGUAUGCGCCGAAAGGUGUAAUAAAAGACAUUUUGAUCUGAUCUUCUUCCUUUAGCGAGAUCUGGUGAUAACCAGAGUAGCAGUCUAGAAAGGAGAGGAGUUCGCAUCCGGCCGUUGAGUCGACCACCUCGUCGAUGCGAGGGAGACCAAAAGGAUCUUUAGGACAGUGUUUAUUGAGAUCAGUGUAAUCAACGCACAUUCUCCAUUCAUUAUUCUUUUUGCGUACAAGGACCGGAUUGGCGAGCCAAUCGGGGUGAUACACUUCUUUUAUGAAUCCGGCUGCUAGAAGCCGUGUUAUUUUUGUCCUAAUAGCCUCCUUUUUGUCACGAGCGAACCGUCGCAGUUUUUGCUUGAUUGGUCUUGCGGUCUUCGAGACAUUUAAGGAGUGCUCGAUCAGGUUUCGUGGGACACCGGGCAUGUCUGCGGGUUUCCAUGCGAAAACGCUCACGUUGUCCCUUAGAAACCUGACGAGCGCGUCUUCCUAUUUUGGAUCCAGGUUGGCCCCGAUGAGGGCUGUCUUCUCGGGGCUGCCUUCGACCAGCUGCACUUCUUUGUACUCCUUGGAUUUUGAGUUCUUCCUGGCUGUCGCCUGUUCGGGUAGUCGGAGCUGGUCGGGAGGCAGCUGUGCGGCUUGGUUUGCUGUUUCUGCCAUGCGGAUUGAGAGGUCGAUUGCCUCGGUGAUCUUGAAGCUUUCUUCUUCGCAGGUGUACGCAGUGUAGACGUUGCCUCUGAUGGUUAGGACACCCUUCUCCGUGGGCAUCUUAAGGACUAGGUAUGAGUAGUGUGGGACUGCCAUGAACUUUGUCAGCGAUGGUCGGCCCAGUAUGGCGUGAUAGGUCCCGUCGAAAUCCGCGACUACGAAGUUGAUGAACUCCGUCCGGAAGUGGUCGGGUGUGCCGAAUUGGACAGGCAAUGUUAUCUGUCCGAGAGGCACUGAACUUUGACCUGGCAAAACCCCCCAGAAUUGGGCGUCGUAAGGUUUUAGUUGUGCGGGAGAUAUCUUGAGGGCGGGCAGGCUGUUGCGAAAGAGGAUGUCAAUGGAGCUUCCCCCGUCCACGAGCACGCGCUCGAAUCUGAUGCUGUUGAUGCAAGGGUCCAGAAUCAGGGGAAAACGACCCGGCUCUGGGAUAGCGGCCCACUGGUCCUUCCUGCAGAACGAGAUCUCCCUAUGGGACCACGGGGGGAAUUUUGGGUCUGCGACUAGCCCGUCCGUGCUGUCUAUGUUGAGGCAAGCUCUCUUUAACAGCUUUCUUUCUCGCUUAGAUUCAAUGGAGACCUUGCCCCCGAAAAUGGAGUGGACCACGUCAGUGGGGCUGACGUACUGGUGUCGGGGGUCCCUAUCUUGGUCCUCGUCCUCAUCUUCGUGAUCGUGCCCGUCGCGCUUGUUAUUUUUCUUGGCGGAGUCGUCUUGGGCGGCCCACCGUGUAUAGAUACUUUUGAGGACGCGGCACUCUUCCAUGGUAUGAUUGGACUUUGGAUGUAGUUGGCAUGGUCCCUUCAACGUUUUGUUGUAGUCUUCUUGGUAGUCCCGUCGUCCAUUGGGACGUUUGACCGUAUUUACUUCGUGGUCGUAGUCGCGAGGGCGCUUUCCUCUGAAGUCGUCGCGGCUGUCGCGCCGCCGAUCCCAACCGUCUCGGUGAUCGCGGUUGUCGGAGCGGCGGUAGUUUCUGCCGUCGUAGCGACCACGACCGUCAUCUCGCCGGGGAGGCUGGUCGGGACCCCUCGCAUCGUCUCGGAUUAGUUUUUCUGCGUCAUCGGCAUCGGCGUAAUUUUUGGCCGUGGCGAGGAGCUCUGCUACCGUUGUUGGACGUUUACGCAACAGCUUGUUCCUCAGCGCUUCGUGGAAACGCAGGCCCUUGAUGAAGGCUGAGAUGGCCUCGUCAUGGGAAAUCUUCGGGAUUUUGUGGCGCAUAUCCGAGAAUCGUCGGAUGUAAUCGCGCAGAGGUUCGUUCUUCUUGUCCCUUAUCCUUUCAAGGUCAUACUUGUUUCCAGGCUGCUCGCAUGUGGCGAUGAAGUUGUCGAUGAAAGCCUGGCGUAACUCUUCCCAAGAGUCGAAGGAGUCCUCGGGUAAGCCGAGAAGCCACUGAUGACCAGCCUGGUCGAGGACUACGGGGAAGUAGUUAGCCAUGACGUGCUCAUCCCCUGCCACUGAUCGGACGGCGAUUUCAUAGAGGGUGAUCCAGUUCUCUGGAUUUUCCUUGCCGUCGUAUUUUUUGAGUUUUUCGAGCUUGAAACUGCGGGGCCACACGACCUGGCGGAGGUGUGAGGAGAACUGUCUUAGGCCCGGAGGACCGUGCGUUGCAUCGUACUCGAUGCGGCGCAGGUUUUCGUGGACUGCUCUCUCUGCGGCGCGCCUGUUGAUGCGGUCCCGGGCAUCUUUGGGAGGGAUGUUGUGGCGGAGAUCCCUGUGUUGAUUUACUUCUUGGCCGCGUACGCGGUUCUGCUUGCGGCGACCGUCGGCGUCCCGACCACCAUCGUCGCGCCGUGAGUCCCCUCGACGGUUGUCGGGGGAGCGGCUGCGGUGAUGCCUGCUGGGUGAGGCCCGGCUACGAUUAGUCUGGUCGGAGGCGGCUUCCGUAUAAGAGACGUCCUGGACUCUCUUGAGCAGAGUGGCCGUCUGUCCCAUUGCAGCGAUCAGGUGUGCUCGUAUGCUGGUCCGGACUCCCUGGCAUUCGGGGGUAUCAGGAAGCUGAUCUAGGUUAGCCAUGGCGACAGCCACGUUGGCGCUUGGCGUUUUGUAGACUGGCUGGUCCCCGACCAUGUCAAAGGCAUCGUUGAGAUUAUUUUGUGGCAUUUGUUGUUGCUCGUCUGCGCGUCGUCGGGCGCGAUCGGCGUUGCGCUGUUCGCGGAGUUGCCUCUGGUCAUCUGUUUCUCCAUCAACGACCGGUUCGUCCGCGCUGACAUUGAACACAAUAUCCCCUCGCCGGGGGGGAAUAUCGGGAAACGGUUGAAACCCGGAGGGUGUGAAGGAAAAUCCAGGUCAUAGUCCUCGUCCUCGGUGUUUAUAACCUCGGUGGGGACGGAACCGGUGCUUGAGUUGGUGCUGGAAGCCUGGCCGUCCCGUAGUUCUCGGAUUGUCACCAUGUUGACGUAGUGACGAUUGCUCCUUGUCGGCGACCAACCCGCCUUGCUGAAAACGGAUUGGGUGUGCUGUGAGUAAACAGAGGCCGAGUUGUUCAGGCCGCAAGGAUAAUCUUCCUUCUUGAGCUCGACGGAUCGUCCUGAGGGUGUUGAGGUUAUCGUCAGAGACGUUCCCAGCCGUUCGUGUGUGGCGACACGAGUUGACCGGCGGGAUUUGAAAAAAUCCGCUGGAGCAGCUUGGUCGGGCCGACGCAGAACUCCGUCUAUUAGUUGGGAAACUUCGAGUAGCUUGGAGUCAGCGCGAUCAAGCGCUUGGAGAAGGUCCGAGCAAUCGAUCUUCUUUCCCUUGUAGAGUGGGAACGGUGGUCGGGCGCUUGGUGCCGUCACGCGUGUGGUCGGAGACGGCGUGAUCUCAGAUUGGAUCUGGAUCUCUUUCGAAACCGUGGUCGUGAGGCCGCCGCUGCACGUCGUCCACGUGAUCUGGCCGACGGUGAACGUGAGGCCUUCAGGCACGGUCGCGGAAGCUGGGAUCGUGACCAUCUUGUUCGCCGGAAAAGUUGCACGCACACCCCCUACCUGGCGCGCCACUGUCGACGAAAGCUGGUCGGCAGUCUACCUUGGGGUAUACCCACGGUAGUAGUUUAUCGGUAGACGGUGCGCAAACUACGAACUCGAUGGUGACGCAAGACACGGACAAGCUUUUUAUCCAGGUUCGGCCGCCGAGUUGGCGUAAUACCUACGUCCUGCGUCUGGUUGUAUUGAUUUGUGUUGAGAGAAUAUGAUGUGUCCUAGGGGGGUCCCUUGCCCCUCCUUAUAUAGUCUGGAGGGCAGGGUUACAGAUCUGGAAACUAAUCCUAGUCGGUUAUAAUUGCCAUGGAUAAUUUGAUAUCAAUUCCUAUUCUAACCGACUAGAAUCCUGCUUGAUCUCCACAUCUUGUUUCCUUGCACAAAACUCCAAGCUGUCGGAUCAAGCCUUGAACUCGUCUCGUAAUGGGCCAAGCCUCCUGGCCCAAGUCUAGGCGUAAGGGUAUAGGGGUUUAUACCCCCACAGUUUCAGAUUAGAGGCACACACAAGUGUAUGUUAUUAGUUUGCAGACAAAUCAUUUUUGGGGAAAAUUUUAGUGACAGAACAAUGGUCAGGAUCACAUGGAAUUCUUCAAGAUAGAUGGGUGUAGAGUAGAGAAACAGAAGUAAAACUGCUACCAUAUGGAUAAAAGUAUUGGGUGUAGCGAUAGCACAAAAUAGCGAUACCGUUGUCUGACCACUGUAAAGAUAGCUACUGCUCACAGAGUCACACUCACAGAUCUAGAAGAAGCUGCUGUCAUCAUCCAAGCAGCCUCGCCUUGCAGAAGACCCUGUCGGUGUGAAAGGGGCAUCUCAUGGGCAAUAAUCGAGAAAUGAACAACCAGAGAACGGAGCUGUCGGGGUUUUACCAUGCGGUUUUACUCUUACCAUGUGAUCUUAAGCGGCGUUUCUUUUUUCAGCAAAAAUAAAAUUUUGAGAUAUUUAAAUUUUUCAUAGUACAUGAUUCACUAUGGAAUAUACUCUCCAUUUACUAUACAUGAUUUACCGUGAAAUAUAUUUCGCUGGAGCUGCUCACAGUCCUGCCAAAAGAGGUUGGCGUCUCGAUGAAUGGGCGGUUUGAACCAUCGAGGCAUCCAUCGACCAUGCAGCCCAGCCCAUCGUAGCGGCUUGAACCAUGCGCGCACUAGCCCAAGCACGUUGGGCUUCCGGUCCAGCCGGCUACUGCGGUCGCCGCUCCGCUCGGCGCAAUCAAGGAUCCCUGCAAUAUCGGUUAGGAAAAACUCCAUUUUUUUUCUCCCCAAUUUUUAUGAAAGUCCACUUUUCCUCUCUUGACUCUAAAACCGGGCAAAAAUCACCACUCUCAACUCUUUAAAUUGUUUACCUCCUGUAGAAGUUGUGAAAGGCGGUUUUUGCUACAGUGAAUAGUGUUUUUGCUAUAGUGAAUUUGUCUUUUCCUUUUUUAAAAUUGUUUUAGCUGAAUAUUUGAAAAAUCAUAGUAAAUCACAGAAAAAUCAUAAAAUGGAAAAUCUAAUUUUUUGACUCCACAUAAAUAGAUCUACAUAGUAAACAUAUAAUAUGGUAUAUUUUAGUACAAAGUUUUUGCUAUAAAGGUUUUGUCCUUUUCUUUUAUUUAUUUAUUUGGCUGAAUCUUUGAAAAAUCAUAGUAAAUCAUAGAAAAAAAAACAUAAAAUAGAAAAUCUAUUUUUUUUAGAUUCCACAUGAGUAUAUAUACAUAAUGAACAUAAUGAAUCAUAGAAAAAUCAUAAUUCUGUCCAAGUGAAGGAAGUAGCUUCCACCUCCUACAGUUUGUGAGAUACAAGGACUUACGCUAGGACAGAAUUUUCACCUCCCACCAGCUUGGUGAUGAUUCCCCCUUGUACCUUUUAAUAUGAAGCUCUUCCAAGUUUGGAUUCGGUUCUAAGCCUUCUAAUACUUCAGCAUCCCUGGUGGGACCAAAAGCUGGACUCGCAGAGUUCCAUUCAAGUUUCAGAAUUAUAAGAUACUAGGUAGCGUGCCCGUGCGUUGCUACGGGACAACUAAACUUUUAUCUAAAAAUAAACGAAUCGCAUGAUAAAAUAAUAAUACUGUGAAAUUAAAAACCAACAUUAAAGUGACAUUUAAUCUAAAAAGCUCUUAAAUGCCCGUACAUAGUAAAAGAAAACACAAUACCAUGAUAACAUAUGUAUGAGCACAUGUUACAACGUUAUUCUAAACAAAUAAUGCAAUCGUGAUGUUUAGAACAUCAGUAUCCCAUUCCUUUAUAAAAGUUUUUAUAUGAGUUGUCUUUUCGUCCAAACUCUUUAGUGUGUCCCCAACAAAUCCUGUCCGCCCACCAACACAUGUGGACCCUCCUUUUGGCUCACGCGCCUACACCACCACCUUAGCACGGGAUGAGCGACAACCAGAUUCCAUUUCCAACCACCUCAACAUGUGAUGAGUGACGGCCACAUUCGAGAUCGAUGGGCACAUAGACUGACACUCCACGACAGAUCAAUGUGCAUUGCCACACCAGAAUUUGAUGAUGGCGAAACCAACGUAUUAGCAUGUUGGUAUUACCACGUUGCCGCGGGACUGGUCAUGGACAUACCAAAUUCAAAAUAAAACACUUAUUCUAAAAUCAUACUCUUUGCUAGCGUAAUAAAUAGUCUGACUAUUUCAGUUUUUGUUGUAGUAAAUAAAACCUAAUAAAAUCAAAUACCUUAAAUUCAUUCUAAUAUUCAGAAUCUUUGAUGACAUUUCUAUUUGAUUCUAUUCAAUAAGUUUCAUGAGCUGAGACAUAUGUAUCCACAUAUUUCUAAGUAAAUCAGUUGAUCAUAUCUAGCUAAUGACCAUGCUUAGCAUAAAAUUUGUGCCACUUUAUCUACACAUAAGUACCGAAAUUCAGUCACAACUAUAGCACAGAUUGCUAAACGAAGCAACAAAACAAGUUUUUGUUAGAUGUAGAUUUUUGUUACCAAAUAAAGAUAUUAUAUAUAUACCAUUAAGAAAAAAUAUCAAAGAUAAUAUUGGCAACCAUCCUUGAGAUUUCAUAACUAUAAAAAAAAUACAAUAAGAUCGUACUACAUCAGACUGAGCAACGAAACCACCUGUGGGCAUAGACAUCCCCCCAUUUCAAAUGACAACAGCACCCUCCUGAUCAUCCAAUAGUGAACCAAAACAAUAGACAAUAUUUUGAGUUUAGAACUUGGAAGUGGUGUCAUUUUUUUCUACAUGUCACAAUGUCUAACAACAAAAGAAAAACUCCUUAGCUUAUUUGCGCGCAAUCCACACACUGAAUCCUUCCAUCUAUCAUGCUGGCACUCUGCCCUCUCCAGUCUCCAUUGAUCCCAAUGACUGUCAGAAUGCCAUGCCCACCAUCAUCACAAUGCCAUCGGCCAUCCAGUGCAACUGCAAAAUGAAUUUUACUUUCUGUACAAGCCAUGCAAAUUUCUUGAAAUUGUUGUUAUAUUAAGAUCGAGCAAUGAUGUAUCUAAUAUGUAUUGAUUAUUAUAAAUUGUUUGGUUGGUUGUGCUAGCUCUCUUUCUAUCGACAGGUUGUUAUAUUAAGAUCGAGCAGUGGAACAUAUAGUAUGAACAUGAGUAUCUUAGGGAGAGAAAGGGACUAAGGUUAGAACAAAGAAAAUAUUUUGUAUAUCCAUAGAAAAUGGUCCAAAUGCAAUGCACAUUGCUAAAUCAUUGCCUCCAGUCUUGCCAUAAAUAGAUAAGCACAUUGUAAAUUCUUGUAGAAAAAUAUCAUUGCACUCAGAAAGAUAUGGUCUGCUUAUUUUUUUAGUUUACAUGCAUAACAAAUUGUAGAAACAAAUUUGCUAACUGUGCUUUGUCACAGUGCUGAAAAGUGACGGUUCAGUUCUCACCAAUUGAUCAGAUCGUUGCUCAGGUUGUGCCACUUAUCAGUCUCUCCAGCUGAUCCAACUUUUUAACCUUGACAAGCCCGAUCAGAAGUUGUAGCCUGAAGAAUGCAUAGGAGUAUGCAAUGGUUGCUGGUCCCUGCAACGGGUAUUAAAGAUUUAAAGAUCAGGUGAUGAGAAUAAAUAUGUGCCGGAAAUCUGAUAGAUGGUAUAUACUCCAGUUUGUUUACAAACUCACCUUGAUUGAAUUGAAGUUGCAUGGUUCACCAAACUACCUACAACAACUCCCUAGAUGAUAGAGAGCAAGAUUUUAAGAAUUAAGGCACAUUAUGAUGAUAAUAUUGAACUUUAAGAAAACAAUGUUCCAUAUCAAAGAAAGAAAAUUUCAUGAUAGACCUGUUUCACUUGAUCAACUUUCUCACAUUAAAAUUGCAGUUGCAGUGCCCCUCUAUCAACUUUGUUUUAACAUUUAGAGUAGGUUCCAGUUCAGGCUAACUGAAUUUGCCUGGACUCAGCGUCAUCCAGCAGACAAGUUCGCUCUUGUCAAUAGCAAUCGCCAAAAGAUCCUCUCCUGUAAAAUUUAAUUCGAGUCAUCAGAACAAAAUUGAUAAAAUAAAUCAUGACAUAUUUCCAUCAAUCAAGUUUGCUUCUAAAUUACAGUUCUCAAGUUGCCUUCUAUCGCUCCUUUCUACUGCUAGAUGCUCUUGAAAGCUAUAAAUAAUAUAUGCAAACAAAACAAAGCCAAACAUCAUGCUCAUCCAGUUCAACAAACCUCAUCUAACUAAUACUACUAAAGUCGUAGACGCCCGCACCUCCGACUCUCCUCACAUUUUACUGUACUGAGCACAGUAAACAGCCACCGCCCCACAUCUGACGGAAAAAGGAUACCUCCGACUUCCCUUAGAUUUCAGGGCUGCAGAAAAAAAGAAAGAAAAAGAAAUGUCCAGAUCUAUCCCUCAACAUAUUCUCAGCACCGUCGAUACUACGCCUCCGCCUGGGGCAUCCGUCGCCACUUCACAUGGCGACUCCGCCACCGCUCCGCCCGGGGACUCCGCCACCUCUCCAUCCCCUACCAUCGCCGCCCUACACCCCGCGCGUGGCCACAGGUUCCUGCGCCCGCAGCCUGCGCACCACGCCGCCGCCGCCCUCGGCCUAUCCUGCAGCACGGGUUGCGCGCCACGCCGCCCUCGGUCUCCCGCAGCACAGGCCGUGCGCCACGCCGCCACUGCCCUCGGCCUCUCCCGCAGCACGGGCCGUGCGCCACGCUUCGCCAACGGAGGUAACCAUGUAAAGCCUUCCUUUUUCCUCAUCACACCAAUUUGUGUUACAUUUAUCCCCUUUUUUAUAAUAAUUGUGUUAACAGCCAGGAUAUCAUCCUUCUAUAGUUCUUUAGGUGAACACAUUUGGGUUAUACUUUCAUUCAUAUAUAUUCCCCCCCACUCUGGGCAAAACGAAUCUGUCCAUUACAAUCUUUGAGACUCAUAUAUAGAUUAUGGUACAUCAGGUUCACACCUGGGAACCUUCUUCCAUAUUCAUGAUACAAAUUAUGCUUAUUAGUAACAGUAAGUGGAGUCUGCUUCAAAAAAUUCCCUCAUGAUUUGUAUGCAUUCCAUUCUAUUUGCAGCAUGGUUAAUGCAGUUUCAGACUCCAUAUCCUGUAGGUACAUUACUCAUUGCCGUUAAUUAUCUACAAUGUGUUAUGCAUAAUACCAAGCACGGAAUACUCAUAUUGGUAAAUUAUUGCUACAAAUUAUUCAGCGACAUUAGUGAGAUUUGUGAGCUGCCUAUAACUCGCAGCAUAUGGCUUCCUCUCCAAAAAAAAAGGGUAAUGAAUUAAUGCCUACAAAUAUUCUACAUAUAUAAGAGAAAACAGGUACAAAAACAAAAAAUGUACUGGACGGCCUCAUUUGCUAUAAUCAUCACAUGUUGGCCUGUUUGGAACAACAACAGUUACACAAAUAUAUUUCUGGGCUAGACUCUUCAGAACAUAAAUGUGAGUACAGAUAUAUACGAAAUUGCUGUAAGCAACCAUUUAUUCGGCUACAAAAUUUCACAACAUGUUUGAAGUUGUUUGAACUUGGAAUUUGAUUGUACGGAGGUGUUUGAAAUAUUUUCCACGUAUAUAACUGUUGAUCUUAUAUGGAUAUGCAGGUAUCGGGUAUUGGUUUCAUGGUCUCUGAGCAACUCCGAAAGAUAAUGGUGCCGCCUUCUAUGCGGGCUAUAUCUUCAGUUCUACAUGCAAUCAAAUGUGUCUAAUAGUGCGUACUCCUUUUGUAACAAUUCUUUAUGAAUAUUUUGCUUUUAAGUUUUACCACAACUCCAAAUAGGUCAAUAGCCAACAGUUCUCUAUAAAUUCUAAUGACAUCCCAUGUACUACAUUUGGUAGCAAUGAUCACAUCCACUCCAUCUGCUGUAGUUUAUUUUCUACACUACCUAAAAGACCUGCCCUAAUAAUUUCAAUCAGUUCUUGCAAUCUGUGUGUCUGGGGUAUUUUCAUAUGCUAUACUCCUGGCUUACUGCCCUGUGCGAAGCACGGGGGUACCUCCUAGUUUGCUAUAACUACAAGGUAAAAUCUUCUCAAGGACGGUGCUGUAUUUGGUUACUUUUUUCUUUAAUGAAAUAACACAUAGAUCUCAAGCACGUUCGAGAGAGAAAAAAAAUCUUGUCAGGGAUAAGUAACUACCUAUUAUAAGAAAAAAUUGAGUUGUUCUUCUAACAACAAUCAUAUCGCCAGUAGGAACAAGGACCCCUAUUUGAACCAUAAUUUUAAGCACCUGCAGAAAUACAAGAUUCAACAUCCACAAAACUUCACAGGGUACAGAUUAUCAUCGGGUGGCUAUUAUGCCUAGAGAAGUAACUUGGAUCUUGGAUUUAACCAUCGGACUACAAAUCAGAACUUCAGAAGGGGCUCAGGGAAGGAAGAGGGAUGAACCUAUAGGGGUGAGGGUCGUCGAUGCCGUGUGGCCUGUUGUCCUUGUUUGGAGAUGGGUGGCCUGGAGAUGGACGGGCGAGCGGCCUGGUGAGGGGCGGCACCAAUCCUGCCGGUGGCCAAUUGUCCUUGUAUGUAGCCUGAACUGCGAAGCGCUGGGAGCCCAGGAAACAUAGGCAUUGGGAUUGCAAUGAAUCUCACAAUCACCUUGAAUCUCACAAUCACCUUGAAUCCCCUAAUCCAAGGCUGCGCCCCACGACUCUAGGGUUUGGCGCGUUGGGGCUAGGCGCUACUUGUCCCAUCGGAAGUGCUGGUCUGGCGAUGCUAGGCUCCAUGCGAGGGCUGGGCUAGCUCCGCCUGGAUCCCCAUGUGGUGGCGCGAGGGAAGGCGAAGGGGAGACGGGAGGAAGAAGGCACGAGGUAGGGAGAGGCGGCGUUGCGGGAAGAAAGGAGGAGGUUUCCGGACAUAACGCUUUGUCUGAUUUUUCUCUGGGAAUUGUGGCGGAGAUAGGUAUCGAACUUGCGUCUAUUGACAUGCGACGGGUGGCAUUUUAUCAAAAAUGGUUUGCGCUGCCCACACAGAGUGGUAUUUUAAGGGAAACGGCCGCGAUCGCACAGGUGUGGCAGACGGACGAAACUUUUUCUGCACAAAAAAAAUAUCCACACUUUAGUCUUUUUAGUUGUAGGAGAUAGGAGAUUGCUUAUUGGAUAAUUCAGCAUUGCAAGCUUCCUCCUUGCAUUGAACAUUUUCCAGGUACUUGAUGUGAAGUAGACCAUGAAGGUCGUUCAUAUUCUUCAACUCCACUAAGCUCUGCCCUUGUUCUUCUUUAACAUGGAAUUCAAUAGACCCUUGAAGAUUAACCAGAGUACCAAUACCCCUUAUCAUUGAAAUAUAUGUUAAAUCUACGCCAAGAUGCUGCAAGUUGACCAACAGAAUGCAUGCCCUUAGGAAAUCCAUCGAGCUGACACUUCUUUGGAAUAUCAAGAGUUUGAAGAUGCAGUAACAUGCUCACAGAUUCAGAUAGCUUCUUGAUAGUACCAGGAAGUGCUCUGUAACGCAGAUGAAUAGAUAACCAAUUGCUUCAGGUACCUCUGAUAUAAAGAUCUAACGUGCAUACAUUCUUUAUCUCAGCAAGAAAAUCAUGUGGAAUAGUACUUAAGGUCAUCGAUGAAUCUUUAAAUACAACUAACGUCUGUAAUCUUCUCAAGUCAAAUUGCUCCUUCAGCCGUGGUAGAGAGUUGCUUGAAACAGAUACAUUCUAACAGUCGAUGGUAUGUUUUUAGACUUGUUGCCUUCCAUCCUCGCACAAUCACAGCAGGAAACCAUUUGUACCAGAUCAUGAAUCAGGUCAUGCAUGACAUAGUGUGUUCUGUUUCCCUGCCUAAGGGUGUGAAAGAAUGAUCUUGCCCACAGUUGUUUGAAAUGUUCUAUACCUGCUUCCCUUUUCCAUCUGAACACAACCCUGUGCUAUCCACAUUCUGAUCAAUUCCUUACGCUCAAACUUCCAGUUCUUUGGAAAUAUGCUGCAGUACGCAAAGCAAUAUUGCAAGUGUUGUGGGAGAUGAUAAUUGAUAAUGGCUCGACAGAAGUGUCGAGACAAUGUCACCAUGAAUAUAUGUCUGUGAGAUAUUAUUCCACUCCUUUCCGAUUCGAGUAUUAUUGAGCCUCCCACCAAAUAACUCUGGCUGCAAGAGGGGAUCCAUUAAGAUUCGAAGUAAUUUUCCUCCCAAUAUCCCGCAAACGCUGGUGUUCACGACUAUUCUCCCUACCUAGUGCACACUUUUUUUUAGAUCGGGUCGUUCACCCAUUUUUUAUUAAGAGGGGAAAGGUACAGUAACAAACCUAACCCCGACAGCGAGGAACCAUCGACAUUAGGCCAAAACUGAGGCCCUAGAUAAUGAAAAGGAAGCUGAGGAUUACAUGUCAAAAGUAAAAUGUGACCAAAGUGGCAAAGCUACAGCAAGGGUUCUAAAGCACGCCAGCACCCAAUCAGCCGCCUCAAAAACCACCCUACGGAAGAGCUCUGUCUGCCGAUUUCUGUGCGAACGUUCUGUUGUUUCGUUCCUUCCAAACAAUCCAAGAGACGAGCAACAUCAAGGAGUCAAAAGGUGGACGAAAAGCGACGUCGAGACGAAGCUGCUGCCGGACUGCCGGAGCCACCAAUCAGUUAAGUUCUCGUCACAGACCAACGAGCGAGGCCAGGCCUAACGGCGUCAACAGUGCGCACCAUAGCUCCUUCAUGACGACGCAGCCAAUCAACAAGUGGUCCCCAGAUUCAGCUUCUUGUUCGCACAACACACAAGCGUCGUCAUCCCGUAGACGAUUAAACCAAUCAGCGUCGUGCGCGGCAUCCUGGAGGCGAUUAAACCAGGCGAGAAGUGUGGGGUGGGGCGAGCGGUGUUGGGCUCGCUCCACGAUGGAGGCGUACGUGUGGAGGCGAAGGAGGUAGUCCUUGAGGUGAUCGAGGUCGGUGGAGGCGGACUCCAAGAGGGGGAGGUAGCAAAGGAGGUCAUCGGCGUAGGAGCGAAGCCGGCUACUCAGAUUGUCAGGAAUGGUGACACCAACCACCCCGCGCCAGCCGCCACGGUCGAACACGCCAUGGGAGUCUCUGCGGGUCGACACGAUGCGUGUGUGGCGGCGCAUUUUGCUGGCUGGUUCGAGUGGUGUGGGGGCACGGAGCCAUCAUCGCCGCGUCGGGAAAGAGAAAUCGCGAGGCCGUGGCGUUGGAAACGUCGAAUUUUUUGGUCUUGUUCAGGAGAAAGGACCAAGGUUUCUAAGACAAAAUGUGAAUUUUCGUUUGUUAGAAUUGGCUAAUAAUACAAAAUGUAACAAAAAAUAGUUACAUUAAAAAUCUAAGUGGAAAUUGUAUUAAUCUGUCCCUCUCCUCCACCUCUAGCCAACGUAGAACCAUAUAAACGUGCCAAAACUUCCCCAUUUUCUUACAUUCUUGUGUAGGUCAUAUGGAUCCAUCUAUGACUACUAAUCUACCACUAGGUAUUUUAAGUAUCAAAAUAGAGAUAGCAUAGAGUCUCGUUUUUUAUAGAUGAAAGUCACCAUGAAUAUUAUAGAGCAAACAAUAUGCAAAUUAGCCAUAUCAUCUAGCAAAUAAUAUCAUUAAAGUCUAUAAAUUAAAGGUUAAAGUAUGUGCCGCCACUAUGUUGUCAAUGAGUAAGAUAAGUACAGGGUGAGGUGACAGAAAAAAAAUUGUGUUGAAGACAUUAGUGAUUCAUGCACUUGUCAUAACACGUUAUUUAGGUCCAUAGCACUAAAAAUAUAUCAUCUUAUCGGUGCUUCCUGCUGACGUGCCAAUGUUAGGUUUGUAGUUUAUAGAGAAAAGUAGGACUAUUAGAGCAUUUUUUAAGUCUCUCUAAAUUAUUCAGAGAGCCAUUUGCAUAUAAUAAUUUUUUAUGUCUUUUCACACUCUAAGAGCAUCCCCAACCGUUUUGCAUAAUUGGUUUGGCAAAUGAGAGAGUUUGCCAAGUCUCAAAAAAAUAUGGCAAAGGUGAAAAGAGGCAAUCUCCAAUGGUUUGGCAUUAAUCACUUCGCGCCAAUUUCCCAAUGCCAAGUGUGAACAGGUUUGGCAUAUAUGCCAAUCCUUCCUCUCUUUUUGUCAAGUUAAAAAAUUGCAAAGUCUAAAUGCCAAACCGUUGGAUAAGUGUUUUUAAGACUUUUUUGCAAAUACAUGAAUGCAAAGCUUAUUUGCAAAACGGUUGGGGAUGCUCUAACAGUUUUUCUAUAUCUCCUGCGCACUUUAGAGAGUUAUUAUUGUCUUCUAUUUUUGGCUAGCGAGAAUAGAAGAUGUAUAUAUUUGGCUAACUAUUCAAAUAGCCUGUUGGAGGAUAUUCUUUAAAAAAAAGCUGUAUUUCUGUAUCAAGUUGACGCCUGCGCACCACUUGGAGCUUGGAGGCCCAGCGAGAUGGGCCAUUAGGCCUAUCCAUUCAUUUGCAAUUGAGCCGGUUCUCAAUUCAUUAUUUUUUUUAUUUACCAUUCACAAGAUGCUUCCCGCAACGUCGUACUGCCCACGUCAGCUCGCGGGCCCACCUCAUCACCUUUCAACACGGCACAGUUGGGCCAGUCCUAUAAAAAAACAAAUAAAAGGGUUUUCGGUGCUGCUCACUUCGUCGUCUUCUUUUUCUCGUUGCCGUCGCUUCCUCUUCUCGGCUUUUCCAGAGCCUUCUCUUCCUCUCGUGAAUCACGGAUGCCGUGGCUCCCUCUCCCGUCUCAGCUCUUUCCUUCCUCUCUCUCCCUCUCUCCCUCUAUGGAUGCGGCAGGCACGAGCCAGGCCAGGGCGCGGGCGGACCCAGCGCGAGCAGCGGCCCAGCGUGGUUGGUGCUCCGGCACGGCCGGCGCGACCCGGCGUCGCCUCUCUCUCGCUCUCCUGGUGUCGCGCGGCGAUGCGCCGGCUGUGGCCGCAGCUGCCGCCCUCUCCGUCUCUCCCGACUCCGAUGUGGCCGUCGGUGUGGGUGCCCCCAACGUCCAUCUCGAUCUGAGAUCAGUGGUGGUGGCUGUCCAGCUUCACAAGGUGAUUUCAGAUGCCUUAUAAAUAUUUGUAAUUUUUGCUUUUGUCUCUCUGAUUUCUCCCCACAAUGAGUUCGAUUCCUGUUCUAGGGAGUCGGAUUCCUGUUCUAGGGUUUUGGUUCCAAUACUUGCCUUCUGCUCCAUUGUAUGUCUUCUCUGUGUCAAUCUCUAAGAAAUAUGCUUCAAGCGAGUUGUGGCUGUGCAACCACCGGUAAGGCUGGAGACCAAUGCCCCCUGGUAUGUUCACUUCUCUCCAAUUGUAGCUUUAUCUUUGUUUUUUUCUGUAAGUUAUUGCUUGCGAUUUUAGAUAAUUGUUUCCUAUCCCAGUCACUUGCUAACUAAACGUAAUAAAUCUACUCAACCCCAUUAUCCAAUGUUGUUGCUUCAAUUUUUAAUUAUGAUUUAUGUGCAGAUUUCUUCGUGCUAGCAAAUUGAUAUGUGGUAAAUGCAUGUAUCCCUUGCAGAGAUAUACAAUAGUGACCACAGUAUCCAUAUUUAUUUGCCUUCUUAAUGGACUAAGAGUCAGGCCAUCAUCUGCAUACAAAUGUUUUUGGUUGUAGUCCACAAAAAAUGCUAGCUUACAUCGUUUUUGAUAUAUCGCCAAAUAGAUCAUUACAAGUAGGUCAUGGGAGCCUUUCCACAAAUUACCUACCUUAGUGCUAUAUUUUUGCUCCUGCUACAGCCUUGGCUUAGAGCAUUUUUGGUUCUCUUCUCUAUCUAAAUGCAAUUUCUAGGAGACUUAAUCAUUCUUUGUUAAAAAACAUAAAAACCUAGAGAAUUGUUACUUAUUUUUCUUCAUAUUGAUCUUCCUCCCAUGUCAAAGUCGACGCAACUUAGAAUUAUAUACAGUAGUUGGCUACGACUAUUGUUUGCUCACACGCUUCUUCCUUUCGGUUUCAUGACAGAAUGAUAGUAUUCCUUCUUUCAAACUACGGAUGACAAAAUGAUUGUGCAGUAACUCUGCUUUGUAAUGACACAAAGAAAAUAUUCUAUUCAUGUUCGAAGUCAUAGAUGAUCGUCUUGUGUCUUAUAUAUAGAGUAGCCGAGGAUAUACAACCAUCCUGUUUGCAUAUAUAUAUAUUAUUUCCCAUUGGAGAUACCUAUGCUGAUCUUUGUUUCACUCUUUUCAGGUGGAUCUUUGUUUGUCAAGACGGAAUAUGAGGUCAUGGUCUCAUGGAUCAGAAAUAUUAAAACAUAUUCGGCUAUAUAGGCAAGCAAACUUUUGCUCAAUUCAUUUCCCCUUUAUCACAAACAUCCUAACAUCCUGUACUUAUUGUUUGUUAGUCAUUGCAUCGAACAAUUCAGAGAUUUCACAUUCUUAGUGGCCUCAAAAUGGUUCCAUCUACUCAUUGCUUACCUUGCAUUAUAUUCCUUGCUUUCUUCUAUAAUGCAUAUUUUUAUCUUUUGUAUAACAAAAGCUUGAGAAAAAAAAAUAUGGAUACCUUAUGAUAACAAUGGUUUAUAGUGGCAGUAGACUCCUUUGUAAGUUUUGCCCUUCCAUUCCAUUGGAUUGAUUGAUAUGGAUAUUCUGGCGAUGACACCUACAUGUCUUUAUUGGUGCCAAUAAAUAUUUUCAUUCUAAUACUAAAAGUCGCCUUUGUUAGUCAUUCUUGAAUUUGAGACAUUAUUUUGGUCCUAUUUUCGCUCUUUUCCUUCACUGAGAUAGAAUGCUUUUAUGCUUCUUCCAAGGGAUGGGAGGUGUGGCAGCCUAAUCUUAGUUUCAACUGCAGUGCCCUGUGAGUCCACCUCAGUAGACAGACAUGGCAGUAAUCAAUUUUGAUGGCUCAUAAGUUUUCUAUCGUUUUACAGUACCUAAACCUUUCAGCUGAUGUUUAUCACAUCCCUCCUGCAGGCAGCAGAUUGCCAGGCGGACCUACAGCUAUGAUUGAAGCAGUCCACCCCUCUUGAACCCAGGUCUCCUCUGUAAUGCACACUAGGUACUUUCCCAUCUCCAUCUUUCUUUCAUGUAUUUCGAAGGUUACACAAACCUAGGAUUUGAGAGUGGUGAACUUUUUUAUUGUCAUGGCAAAAAUUAUCCAAAAAAAGGGUUCCUAAUCAUACAAAUUGAUGACUCCCAUUAAAGUUCAAACCAUUAACUUCUGAAAUCAUUUUAUUUAUGUAUGUCCAAGCAUUUUUUCCAACAAUAUUCAGAGUUAGAGUGCCUUUGCUAUACAAUAUUUCAAAGAGGCUAAUUCCAGUCAUUUGCCUUUACCCUCUCAUAUGACAUCUAUAACCCUACAUUCAUAUAUGAAGUUAUAUCUAUGCUAAUGUUCUGCCUCACCUACAAUAAGAGAUUUAGGAAUGUUUUAUGAAUCAUAUUUGUUUAUAUAUUAAUUUUUACUAUCAGCCAAUUUUCACGUUAUGUGUAACAAUUUCUUGCACUACGCCAUUCAUAUCGGUUAUCGCCCUAAUGCCAUUUCUUAAGUUGUGAAAAGUUAUCAUUUCAAAUCUUCAACUCAACUAAAUUAAGCUAAAAAGGGCUCGGUGCUAUGUCAUCUCCCUGGUUGUGCAUGCAUUUUGUCCAACUUACCGCCAGGUUCAUAAAUGCUUAAAAGCUCUUUAUUAAUUACUCAGACUUUGUGCAUUGAUUGUCUUACCAUACUUUCAGGUCAUGUGCUGACAAAGCCGUCCGAAUACAGAUUGAUGGGCACACAGAGCUCGGCUUUCAUUGGGCCAUUGUCCUCAGAACAAACAAUACUCCCUCCAUGUUGGUAAAAUAAGUCGUUUUGGAUAAGGUUUGGGUCAAAUAUUGAGAAUAUAAAUUAUGAAUAAUUUUUAAGUUGUUGAGCUUAAAAAUAUGAAAACCGCAUGAAUAGAUUUGUCUUCAAAUAUACUUUUAUAAAAGUAUACACACAUCACUUUUAAAUAAAUUUUUUUAUAGAAAAAUAAAGUCAAAGUUAUAUUUUGGAGACCCUGUCAUUGUCAAAAACGACUUCUUUUACCAACUUGGAGGGAGUAUGUGACCAAAUCUUAGUUCUUGCUGAAUCUCACCUACCUGACUGGUGGUUACUCCAAGACGGUUCCCCAGAUCUGGUGACCAAGCGCUAAAUAUAAACUUUUCAAUCUCUCAAACAUAGUCAUAUUUUUCUGCUCCUUCACACAUAGAUACUGUAGUUACCAUUUUAUUAUGUCUACAAAUAUUUUUAAUUAUGCCUAGGAUUUUGAGUUGCUUAGUAAAAUUUAGUCAUAUAUAUGGAACUCAAAAUACAAGUAAUAAUUUAAACAAUCUGGAGUUUGAGCGUUGCGAACACUGUAGAAACAAAAAAAUAAUACCUAUAGUGCUUGCUUGACUAAUUACUUUUGCACUAAAUGCAACUACAUAAGUUGUCGUCCAUUAAUAUCGUUGCACCAAUUUACAUCAAGUUAGAACUGCACUAAAUUAUUCAUGUUGUUAUUAAUCCCAUAUUUUUUUUUGUAAACACCUUGAAACUGAUUACUUUCCUUCACAUGGUCAUAUGAUUGCCUAGGUAUUUAAAUUUUAAUCAAUGGCAGCACGAACAGGUUUGUACCAAGCCAAAUGGUAAAUAUGCCUCAUACUACACUUAUGUAUAUUCAAGUAAGUGCCUCUGAACAUGUGAAAAUAUUCAAGUAAGUGCCUCUGAGCUUAGGAGGUUUUCUUUGUAUAUUAGCUCUUAACCAUAUUUCUUUCCCUCUAAUGUUUACUUAAAGGUUCAGUACUUGCUAAAAUUCGUGAAGAUAGUAACCCUUGCUUGAUCAUUUGAAUUUUUUAGUUUAUGUGGUUUCUACAUAAUCUGCCCGCAGAGAGGUAUUUCAACACAUUGAAAAGCAGACAACUUCCAUGUCCUUAUCCAGAUCUCUUCACAACUUUUUAGCUGGUAUGAAACAGCUGAACUUAUCUAAAGUUUAGCUGAGCUGUCUACAUCCCAGCCAUCUAAAUUUAGACGCUUAAAGUUUAGUUGGUACAUCCAAAUAGGCCCUUAAUGUUUCACCUUUUUGAUGCUCGUAUUUCUGCAUGCAAGUUUUUUUUACUAAAAAGAUCUAGCCAAAAGAUGCAUCUACCAAUUUUUUUCCCCCGGCUUGUUCUCGGCGCACUAACCAAGUUGGUCAUGUUUUUCUAUAUAGGAAAUGGAUACAUAGAAAAUAAUUAUUUGCUUAAUAAAUUGCUUAUUCACAGUCUAAGAUGGCAACCUACUAUUCCAGCAAGGUGUUACUUAGAUGCUAUUAGCAUGGUGCUCAGUGUCAUAAAAAAAUGGGUCUUCUACUACAGAGCUGUUGUUUGUGCUGAUUCGAAAAAAUGAUGAAUGUUCAGAGUUCCAGUGUUGCCUCCUAAAUUCGAUUUUGCCAUAUUUUUGUCAGCAACUCAACAACACCCCCUUUGCUCUCUGGACUUAAAGAUGAUAAGAACGACCCAGGUUUAUCUCUAUCGCUUUCAUCCAUCGUUCCUUUCAGAGUUGCAUAAGUGUGUGUUAUUAUUCAAAUCCAUUCUAUAGUCUGCGUGAUUCAUGUGUGUCAUGGUCUACUAUUGCCAUUUCUAUAGUUCCUGCUAAAAAAUAUCUAUAACUAAUAUGAACUUUGGUUCCAAACUUGAAUCUGUAUUUCCCUAUUCAUGUACUCAAUCUAGCUAUCACCUAUCCAGAAGACAAUUCAAUAGGGUGGCCUAUUGAUGCUGUGAAAUUUGAGUCAACUUCGUUCAGAUGCAACAUGAAUAUAGGAAAUAUAUACUGUUGCCAAGAACCGAAGUUUAUCGCGUAAUGUUUUAUUUAGAUAACCAAUGCAGCUUGCCUUUUUUUCACAGAUAAAUUAAAUGGUGUAGAGUAUGAUCGAAUACACAUUUCUAGAGUCUAAAAAUUCAUAUUUGGUAGAAAAUUCAAAUUCACCCUAUAAUUUUUAAUUACGAAAUCUAAGAAGCCAUAUUUGGUUGCACGUACUGCCUAGCCAGUGUUGAAGUAAAUAAAUUAUAUCCAUUGUUAGGACUCAUGCUUUCAACAUAGCAUAGCUCAACCAUGCUUUCAAUGUACUGACUAUACCUGUCAUACUCGCGUUACGCAUACUCAGAUUAGGACAACCCCUCUUAAGAAACAUAUCAUCCCUGCAGUUAACAUAAAUGCACCCUUGAUGGCUUCUACAAAACUCUUUUGAUUCCAACAACCUAUAGGUUAAUUUAUAGCAACAACACGUCUAUUGUAGUUCUUUACAGACGCAUAUCUCCUAAUUCUUGACAGGUACAUGACCGCAUCAUCCACAGAGUCAUCGAUUAGCAUCUCAGACGAUGAUGAACAAGGAUGGGAGUUUGAUCGCAGCAUGAACCUUGGCUGAUCUUACCGGCUCUAUCAUAGCCCAACAAAUUCUAUAGUCCACAGACUUAGUGACUUCAGUAAUAUUUAGGCCUACCACUAUUGGGUACUUCUGUGCACUACAUUUUGCAGAAACUAGCCUCCACAUCCUUGCUACAUAGCACUCUGCAGUGCUUUUGUAUGACCACCAAGACUUCGUGUAUGAUAGACCUAAUAUCUAUAAUUGUUGCAUGAAUUACUCUAUAUGUAUUCAAAAAAAAAAAACUCUACAUACAUAGCUUUGCUCUCUAGGUGUAUAUAACCUUCUUUGGUAUCCGAGUUUGGACAAAAUACACAUCAGCAAAGGCAUUCUACAGAUAAACAUAUCCAUAGUAUUAUUGUGUGCAUCUUCUCCAAACAACAGUCAUCAGUAUCUUUCCAAUCGCGCGCAGGGGCGCGCGUUUCCUACUAGUUAUGCUUCCUUUCUCGUCUGGGGCUCGAUCCAACCGUAGCUAACCUAUAUAUUUUUCUUACGAAUAUUGCAAAUUAAUAAUAGGCUUAUAUCAUGCAAUGCAGCCAUCAGAAUUUAUUUUCAAUUUAUAUAAAAUAAACCUAAACCUAGAAUACCCAUCCAUGUAAUAUUAAACGUUGAACUAGGGGUAUGUUUAAAUAUCAGCAAAAUAUUGUCACAACCAACCUUAGCUAUACAAAAUUGUUUAAAAAUGUCCAAAAUUAGUACCCCCGCCCCCCAUGUUAGGCUAUAUCCAAAUAACUUCAUAAGCUAAUGUUUUACUACGAUCGGGUCCCCUCAACUAUUUUAGUUUGUCCAAUUUAUAUCUUAAAUGUAUAUAUCUUUUAAUUUCUCCACAUACAAGUUGAGUUUUAAUUAUGUGCAGUGAUAGUUAAAACCAUAGUUUAUGUUCAAAUUUCACUCGAAUCACUACCUUUGUCCACUAAAGAAUGCAAUUAUAGAUGCAUUCUUAGUUGACAUGUCUAAAAUUUGACCAAAUAUAUAGAUAAAAAAUAUUAAUAUUUAUGACACCAAAUAAGUAUGGUAUGAAAAAAUCUAAUGAUACUUAUUUAAUAUUAUAAGUAUUUGGUGUUAGUUAUACUUAGUAAAACUCAAGUUGUUUUAUGGGAGAAUUAGGUGUACGGUCUUGUAAAAACCUGUCUUAGGUAUAUGGUCCUCUUUUUUCGAAUUUGGCUCGUCUCAAAACAAAAUUUAUUUAGCUCUAUAGCCUUCUGUUAGUUUUGGGCAGCUAACGAUGUUAAGUCAGGGGUAAAAGACCAUUUUUCGCCAGGGUAAACGGUCUUUUAACCCUGACUUAACACCGUUAUUAUUUGCCCAAAAUUGAUAAAAGGUCAUAGAGCUAAAUAAAUUCUGUUUUGAGGCUAUAGAGCCAAAUUCAAAAAAAGAGAACCAUAUACCUAAGAUAAGUUUUUUCUAGGGCCAUACACAUAAUUCUCCCUUAUUUUAUCUCGGUAAUAUGUUAGAAUUGUAUUAUUUUGUGGACAUAGGGAGUGUAUAUUUUAAUGGUUUAGGACAUCCAAUAAAUAUCAACACUACAAGCAAAUUGUACAUGAGAUAUAAUGAUAGAAAUUUAGAAUUCGACUCUUUUCAACUUUUGAUUUCUGCUAUCACCUCAUUACAGUUUCAAGCUAAAACUCAACUUAUACCAGUAUGUUUGCUUGAGCUUAUCAGCCAAAUCUGACACCCAUUCAACAAUGUUUUUUCUCUCACCACAAUACUUUUCUGCCAUGGUUUAUCGCUCAAACAAACAAGGCGGGGAAACAAAAAUUGUUAAGUGGUAAACAUGAAUAACUGAAAGGAAAGUAAAUCGAAGCAAAUAUUAGUAAACAUGACUAACUGAAAGGAAAGUAAAUCGAAGCAAAUAUUAGUUAAGGGGAUUACCAGGACAGUUGAUGAACUUUGGAAAUGUAAUUUGGAUAUGUUUUUUUUUCUAACUUUUGAAAAAUGUUGUCACAACAUAGUCUACCUAAUUUAUUAUACCCACUAAGAAUACACUUUUGUUUUGCCUAGUUUUAUCUCAGGUUAGGUGGUCAGCUUUCUUCUUAAAAUACAAAAUGAAUGUGGCGGAACGAGGCAGGUUGGUCGUUAGUCAGUGUGACACACACGCGGCAGCCCCACCACCGGAUCGCCAGCAUUUUUUUUUUUUUUACGAGGGAUCGCCAGCACGUUGUAUUCAGUUGAGCCUGCGCGGCUACAGAAGCUAGCUACACCCCGCGCGCGCUACUACACACGCACGCAGCCGGCCGGUGCUCACGUACCGGUAGCUAGCUGUUGCUCGACCUCCAGCCGCGCGCCCCGGCCCGGCCGCUCGCAUCAGACUACCAGGGCCGGCUCUGCUGCUGCCGCGGCCCCUGCCUCAUCAUCAAAGCUGUGUAGUCGCGUGGGGAGACGAUAGCCAAGGGAGUCAAGGUCGGGCGCAGGGAGGGAACAGUCACGGGGAGGAUCGAUUGGGAUCGGAGACCUUGCAGUUGCAGGCCCAGGCCGGAGGAGGACCUGUACGUGUUGUGUCCUGCUCUGCGUGCCCCUGUUCCCGCAUCGCCCGGCAGUGGCACAUUACUACUACGCGCCGGCGCAGGCACAGGCGCACAGCACAGCACAGCACAGCUACUACAUCGUCAGGUCAGUCGCCGCGCGCCCCACACGUCUAGUGCACGUACUACGUACGCAAACGGCACACAUGAUAUGUGCAGCGGAUCCAACGUGCUGUUGGGCACCGUGCUCGUGCUCCCCGGCCGGACGAUCAUCGAUCCCGGACCCCGGCCGGGAGGACACUCUAGCUAGCUAGUGUGACGACCGACCGUAGGCGUGUGUGUGUGUGACAGUGGUGCCGUGGUGGACUCGUUGGUGGUUCUUCUGUCGUCCACAGGCAUUCGCCGCUACGGACUGUCACGUCGCGCGCCCCAACGAGAAAGUAUGUGCGAGAGAUCGACAUCGACACAUAGAGUGGUACUACGUGCGUGCGCGGCAGGGGCCCCGUCGGUACGUACACGUGUCGAUCGGGCUCAGCGCACCAAUCAUGACUCGUCUCGAUCGAUCCGUCGUCCUGGCCUCCGGCCGGGAUCCUCUUCUACGGCGCCACUCUCGAUCGAUCGGUGGUGGGCACAAUCAGAUACUCGAUCACGCGUCGUCCAUCGUGUCCAUCACCCAUGAGACCAUGACCAUGACCGUGUCCUCAGUGUCGUAUUUAUCCAUACCUAUAUCCUGUACAACUAGUGCCUGUUCAGUUUCAAUGCCGGGCAUGGCCUGGCUUUGGCUUUAGUUCUGGAAAAAAAUUAUCGUACUAAGCUUAAAAGAUUCGUCUCAUCAAUUUCGACCAAACUGUAUAAUUAAUUUUUAUUUUUGUUUAUAUUUAAUAUUCUAUGUAUACGUCUAAAGAUUCGAUGUGACAAAAAAAAUUUUAAAAAAUUUUAGAUUUUGAGUGUAAAUAAACAAGGCCUUCGUCAGCGACAGUUCGAGGACAAGUUGACAAAACAACACCGCCUUCCAAAACCAUCUGCGCACGGCGGCUGCUACUACAGCAAGUAUAUACUGUACACCGUGUUCGUUGCAUGCGCGGGUUUAUUAGGACACUAGCAAUGCAGACUCUAUCAUAGAGUCUAAAGUUAUUUAUUAAGUCGAACAAUGUAGACUUAGAGUCUAAAUAAGACUUGGAGUCUUAUUUUUUCUACCUUUUUCUUCAAUAAAUAUGCUGUCACAUCAGCAAAAUACCAUAAAUAAUAUGUCGUUAAUUGUCUUGGACUCUGUGAUAGAGUCUUGCAUUGUGAGUACCCUUAUUUCGCCGUUUAAGAAGAAGAAGUGCGUGCACGGUGCGCACCGGACAGACGGCCACGUGUCAACAAGAUGCUACGCAUCCGUGCAACUGCUCUCUACUCUCCCUCCAUUCCAAAUUGUAAGUCAUUCCAAGAAUCUUGGAAAGUCAAAGCAUUUUCACGUUUGACCAAAAUUAUAGAAAAAAAUACUAAAAUUUAUAACGUAAAGUGAGUAUACUAUGGAAAUAUAAUUAAGAAAGAAUCUAAUGAUACUUAGUUAAUACCAUAAUAAUAAUUAUUUUAUAAUAUAAAUUUAGUCAAACUUUUCUAAGUUUGACUCUCCAAGAUUCUUGUAAUGACUUACAAUUUAGGAUGAAGGGAGUAGUAUUUUGCUGGAGAACGAUCUCUCGUGUUGCUCUCGUGUCGAGGAUAUAUGAGCAUGUCAUGUCACGUCACAACACAUGAGCCCCAUUCAAGCAUGAAACAUGUUUUGCCCUCAGCUAGCUAGCCAAAGAUAAAAGAGGGCUGUUUGUCAUGACUCUUCUUGAGGAACUCUUUGGAAGGGGUCAGAUUAGCUUAGGGUUUGUUUAAUUCCACCCCAAAACCAAAAUAUUUUUAAGAUUUUUCGUCACAUCAAAUUUUUUAGCACGUGCAUAAAGCAUUAAAUAUAAAUAAAAAUAAUAACUAAUUACACAAUUUGUCGGUAAUUUAUAAGACAAAAUCUUUUGAGUUUAGUAUAGUCCAUAACUGAACAAUAAUUGCCAUUAAAAGCAAAAAUGCUACAGUAUCUAAUUUUUUUUUCCCACCACCAGCUAAACAAGGCUUAUCUGUUAUUUACUGAAAAAUAGCUCUUUUAGAAAAUUGUUUAGCAAAAUUUCUUCGAAGAAGCUAGAGUGAAUGCUUGAGAGAAGCCCCGCCAAACAUGCUUGCCUUGUUUAUUUAGCAAUUUUUUUAUUUUGGAUAUUAUAGCAAUUUCGUAUGUAUUUAACAAUUGUUAUUCAACUAUGAACUAAUUAGACUCAAAAAUUUGUUUUGCAAAUUAAAAAUGAAUUGACAAUUAGUUAUUUUUUAAUAUCUAUAUUUAGUGUUUUAUACACAUGUCUAAAGAUUUAAUAUGAUAAGGAUUUCUGAAACUUUUUAAGAACUAAACAAGGCCUACUUGUCAUCCCGCGUGUAAAGGAGAUGAAGAUCCAUCGCGCGCGCGUCAUCCAUGUGCCGAUAGCUAUAGCUAGACUGAAGACUGGUACCCGCGCGCGUUCAUCGAUGCAGCACUGCACGUACACGUACAGUACUUACGUUCACACCGACAAAGUCGAACCUUCACGCAGUAAAGGGAUGCUACUUACAGUUAAGGUACGUAGUUUAGGCCGUGUUUAGUUUCCGAUGGAAAAUAUUUCGCGACACUGUAGCACUUUCGUUUGUUUGUGGUAAUUAUUGUCCAACUAUUGACUAACUAGGCUCAAAAGAUUCGUCUUGUCAAUUUCGACCAAACUGUGUAAUUAAUUUUUAUUUUUAUCUAUAUUUAAUACUCCAUGCAUACGUUUAAAGAUUCGAUGUGACGGAGAAUCUUGAAAAAUUUUGGGUUUUUGGAUGAAAGUAAACAAGUCCUAUACAGGGCUAGUACAGUAGUACUCCAUUACAGGAGUAUUAUAUAUAGGUGUAGGUUAGCGAGGACCGCGAAGAAAAGACGGAAGAAGACCACGCGCUCCUCCAUUAGAACUCGUCUUUGUUUUUUUCCCCUAUACACACUUUUCAUCCCGCCCCUGCACUGCUCACGCUGUUAACACUUAACACGCCUCUCUAUCACUCAAAGUCUGAAACAGAAUAUGUUUACCACAGCUUUGGCUGUACGUAAGUGUUCACGGCGGAGCUGGAUUUGCCGGGUUUUCCCGCACGCACGUACUACGCAAAAAAAUGUGCUGACCCGGAUCUGCCAUCGUCCAACACUUCAUGCACAUGUCAACGUACAUCCAGCUCCAUUCCAAGUUUUGUACGUACUGGUAUACGUAUAUACGAAACAAAUCCAUAUUGACGUCUGUAGCUAGUUGGAGCUAGCUCGUGGUCAUGUGUGCGUCCUGUACUCGAUCUACAUGUCCGAACAAACCUACCGUGGUACCGCGUGAUGCAUACCUACGCGGCUCCAAUCCAAGAUGCGCAGGCAGAAUCCGUCCAUCCAAUCACUGCCGGGGGGCGAUGGCACCAUCCGUGCACUGCCCCGGAUCCGGCCGAUUCGCCCGUCGCACCCCAACACGGCAUGUGCGCCCGGCCCUGCCACCACCACCACCAGAGCACCACCGCUUGCCGUCCCUCCCCCGUCUGCCACCAACUCCCCGCGGCCCUGCCGGUUGCCUUAAGUGCGAUGCCACCGAGCCAUGUCAGCCUCCUCCGUCGCCCGGCUCGGGACCGGACGCGACGGACGCUCGCGGAGUCCACCGGCAUCGCUCGCCACCGCCGGCGGUUGCCUGGGUGACGGGUGGGAAGAAGCUGCUCGUGAUGCGUGAAAGCAGAUCGAUUGAUUCCUCCGGCCCACCCGGCCUGCCUGUACCAUUUGUCCACCCAAAUCCAAAUCCAAAUCCAAAGGGGAGAAAAUAAUAAAGCAAAAGGACGCGAUGCCGUCCUGAGCAGCCUCGAAGGCUGCAUAAAUCAACUCGUCGUCCAGGCUCCGUGGUCAGCCGCUGCCGGCCACUUGCCUUCGCCGCCGCGUCCGAAUCCAACGGCUCCACCGAUCUCGUGCGCUCCGUAGUCCGUACUGCUGCCACGGUGCCGCACCUGCGUCCCCGUGGUGGUUACAUGACUCACGUCUCCCGCUCAGGUUCAGGUUCAGACGCUGCCCACGGUGUCCGCCGCGCGCCCGGCGCCCACGUUGCUAGCCUCCCGGCGCGCGUGUCUCGCGUUCGCCUGUCUCUCUCUUUCUCCGUGACGUACUGACGUCGCUCUCUUUAGGUCAUUCUUAACCUUAAAUUUGAAAUGACUCUGAUGCGAUUGCUAACUGCUGCUGCUGUACGUAGAUCCAUGCAUCACAGUGCCCCGGCCCGGCUACUCGCGAUGGGACCCGACUUUGUCCUGCUGCUGGUGUACCUAGCCAUGCCGGCACGGCGAUCGUACUCGUACCACUCAUCGUGUUAUUUAGCUGCGCAGUUAAGAGGGACAGCGAACCAUUAACGCUACACCACGGUACAUCUGUUGGCCGGCCUCUCGUUUAGGAGUAAUAGUUUCCGUACCACCACCACCACCUCCUAGAUUUACUACCGUCAUUACCGGCCGCCGCGGGCACCACUAGGCUGCGGUUAUUACUUAUUACUAGUGGUUACACUACAGCUCGGUUGAUGGCGAUCACGUCGCGUCGCAGGCAGAUGGCUACCAAAUCUGCUGGUCGCAGGCGAGGGAGGCACGGGCGGGGCGCAGCGCAGCGCAGCGCGUGGUACAGGACUCCAGGCCCGCAUGGCUUGGGACGGAGUGGAUCGAGUGGGCGGCUCUCGGCUGGCGCGCGAGGGCGAGCGAAUGCCGCCGCCGCCGCCCCUCCCCACUGAACGAGUAGCGGCAAUGCAGCAUGGGCGACGGCACGGGAGGGAGCCGUAGAAUAAUGCGGCACAUGUGCGUGCGAUGCGCGCGGCAGGCGUGCGCCCGUCGCCCGUGUGUAGCGUGGCCGUUGCCGGUGUCGCGCGCUCGCCGCCACGCCCGCCCGCCCGCCCUGGCGAGGGAGCGCAUAUGCCCCUCCCGUCCCGGCUCCCGCGGACGCCGCUUGUUCCAUAGCGAGUGGCCGCAUGCACUGGGGCUACUGCUGCCAAUCGUUUGUCCCGUCCCUCCGUCCGUCCAUCCAUCCCCUGGACCGCCGGAAUGUGAAUCGAUCGCUCGACCGGACAGACGACGCAGAGGCCACCCGGCGCCCUGCUUGCCGCACUGUUUUGUCCCAGCCUUUUGCCCCAAAUCAUUUGGCAUCUCGUCACGUCUCGUCGUCCCGGCACUGCACACUGGGCAUGGACUCAUGGCAAAGUUACCGACCCAUCAUCGAAUGUUUCACCAUGUCACGCUGUUCGUUACUACCGCCACGCACACACGACACGACGAGCGAGCGACACGGAUGAUGCAUGCGUGUUACAUGGACACGGGUGCUUUCUGCUUCAUCCAUGGCCGACCACGGCUCAUGGGCAUGGCUGGCUGCUUGAGGUGAGCACUAGAGCUUAGCCUAGCUUCGUUCUAGUACAGUACAGGGGAUAUCGAAGCUACUCGAUCGAAUUAGAGCAGAGCAAUGAGAGUAAUUAAAAAGAAAAAACAAAAGAAAACAAGAAGGGGAGCAAGGUAAAGUGAAGAUAUGGAAGAACGAGCCUAGAGCUCGAAUUUGUAUGUACAAUGCCGUGGCUUGCGGCUGCUGCUGAUCAGUACACCUUCUUGGAGAAGAAAGUCCGGAGCCCGAAGAGCCCCUGCGGUGGGUUCCCUUCCUCGCCGGCGCCCUCCACGUUGUUCCGGCAGCCGGCCGCUGGCGCGGCCACGCUCGGCGCCGCCUUGUCAUCGUUGGCUCCGGCCGCGGCGGGUGCCGAGACCGGGGCGGGGCCCGCGGCCGCCUUCUUCUUGGCGCUCACCUGCUUCUGCUCGGCGGCGGUUUGCUGCAGCUUGUUGCGCCUCAGCUGCCACACGGCGCUGGGCCGCCCGACGCGGAUGCCGCCGGACCCUGACCCUGCUCCGUUAUUAUUGUUACGGCCCUGUCCGGGCACCCACCUCCUCAACAUGGACGUGGCGCUGGAUGUGCCGGCGGCGGCGGGCAAUGGCGCCGCCUGGGGCUGCGGCUGGGUGGCCGCGUCGGCGUCUUCUUCUCCGGCUGGUGCUUCUACUGCGGUGGUGGCGGGAAUGGUCGGCACAGGCCCGGAGGACUCCCCACGGGAGUUGCUACGCGAGCACGGCGCGCUGCUCACCUUGCGCGGGGCCGGCGGCGCGCUCGGGGCGCUGGCAUUGGCGUUGGUAUUGGCGCUCGCACCGGCACCGGCGCUGGGACUGGCGCCAGCAGCGUUGGGGAUUGGAUUUGGAUUCGGAUUGGGCUUGGCCCUGCUCAAGGAGCCGCCACCUGCGCCGGCGGAACGGCUCCUGGAGAAUGGCCAAAUGUUGAUGUUAAUCAGCUCGGCGUUCCCACUGACGCUGCUGACGCGCCGCUCCACCUUCUUGCGCUCCUUGGCCUCGCCGCCGGCGGCGCCGCCCGCCUUGAAGAUGUCCUUCCACUUGAACGUGACCGCGGGGAGGUCCGGGGUCGGCGCGAUGCCGGACUCCGCGAGCGGCUGCGCGGUCUCCCCUUCCGCCUCCUGCGCCUGGGCUUCAGGCAGCGGGAGCGCCGCGGCGUCCGCGCCCUUCAAGUCCGCCUUGGCGGCGGCGUCGUCUGCGUCGGCCUGAGGGGCAGGCGCGCCGUCGCCGUCCGUGGCGGCCGGCGCCUGGAGGUUGUGGAGCGGGAGCACGACGCCGCCGGAGAAGAGCUCGUCGGCGGUGAGCAGCGCCGGGGACGGGUUCGUGCCCACCAACCAGAACUCGAACUCGGGCGACGCGGCGUGGGACGGCGAGGACCUCCCGGAGUCGCACUCCGGUAUCGGGGAAGGAGGAAGCGCCCCCACGGUGUCCGCCAUUGCUGUUGCGGUAAAGAGCGCCCGCGACGGCACCAGCCUGGCAGCGCCGCGUCUUGGAUCUGGGCGGGCGGCGGCAAUGGGAGACGGAUUCAGCAGGAUGCCAUGAACUCACUCGCGCAGAGGCAUGCUGUGACUGUGUGUGAGGCUGUGAGCAGUGCUUGGUGAGCCGUGCGGAGCAGAGAAGGGAGGAGGCGUGGGCACUUGCGCGUUAUUUAUCAAUCACAUCAAGGUGGCGGCCCUGGUGCGGAGGUGGGGGGUGAUGGUGGUGCGGCAGUGGCAGUGCCAGCCCCGUUCAGGCACAGCUCAGCUGCCGCUGAUUUCCGCCUCGCCUGUCGCGAAACGCAGCGUUGCAUAUGCGCUCUGAAAUCUUUGUCUGGUGACGCGCGCCCUCGCCCGUUUCUGGGGACGGCCGCCCCCACCAUCACGUUUUCUUGCCUUGCCGUGCUCUCUCUCUCAAGCGUCAAGGGAGAGAUCGGUGCCGUUAAGCUACUGCUUCGUUCACAUCCACCACACAUCCGGAGCUAGAGCAAAGCCAGCAGGCCGCAGGCACCAUCACAUGUCCGUACUGAACGCACUGUUGCGAUAAACCAACCCUACCCUAGCUAGCCAGCCAUGUCGCAGUCUCCAGUGGGAAACGAGCUCGCACGAACAGAGCGACAUGUGUUCGUUAUCAGGUGGUUGGUUGACGCCGACCGGGGCCGCCGCGUCAGUUAAAUCCCUAUCGCUCUGCGGUGGCGCGGAACAGCGCGCGCCCCGCGACGCUUCCAGCCCCAGCCACAGGCAUGUCACACGCAGCGGCCCCCUCCUCCUCCUGUCCGUGCCCAGCACGCACACUACACGGAUACACGCCGCGCAUAACGCGCCUCGUCCGUUCCGUACAGCGUGGCUGUGGGGCGAUGACGAGCUGGCCGCCGCCUGUUCGAUUAGUCAGUCCAUCCACCGACCCGGCGUCGACGUUCUGCGCCGUGUCGUCGCCGGCUCCGAUGCAGUUCCAAUGAUACGGCGUCUAGUCUACGUACGCCGGCGUGCCCUUGGGCUCCGGCUGCGCUGCGCGCGUCUGGGACCACGCAACAUAUAUAUGCGGGUCGUUGCGUCGGUUGUUGCAGCUAUGCGUGUGUGAGCGUGCUCGAUCGAUCCGACGGGGAAUCGUCGAGUUGCUGCGCGCGCUGCUGAAACGGGACGGGGAAUUCGAUUCAAUCGGGGAAGCAACAGGGAAGCCCGUCGGCCCGUGGACUGAUCGAACCGGACACGGGGGUGUGUAGAGGCCUAGAGUCAGGUGGACACACUCUACUGUAGUUCGUUGCCGGCGUACAUACCCGGCCGUCCGGCCGGGACGAUGAAUGAAUGAAUGGAGUCGGCCGGCCAGGAUGGUGCGCUUGCACCGGAAAAGGAGCGAGGAGGAGCGGCUGGCGGGCCGGCCGGCCGGAUCACGUGGUGGCGCAGCCUGACCCAGCCGGAUUAACCAACCACCGAUCAAUCAUGCAUGUUCAUGUUCUGUUCCUCCGUAGAGAGGAGUACUCGUACGUAGCUGAAAGGCGCCUGCCUCGGAUGCCCAACCCAGCCCAACUGUCUAGCAAUGCAAGCUCUCUUUAACUCCCACCAGACACCACAAAUGGGGACAUGGCAAUGGCGCUUAACUACCAUGCAACGCAACCGCUGCUGCCGGGUCAUGAACUGAUGACUGUAGGACACGCCCUUUUGCCCUUGGAUCUUUGUCCCCUCCUUAUCUGAACAGCACAGACUGCGUGCAGUAUAGUAGUAGUAACUCGUAGCAGACUCAUCGCCAUUCACCAAAGUUGUGAUUUUUCACGAGGUAAGGCCUUGUUCAGUUCGCAAAAACUUGCGAAAAAUGGUACUGUAGCACUUUCGUUUUUAUUUGACAAAUAUUGUCCAAUUAUAGAGUAACUAGGCUCAAAAGAUUCAUCUCGUGGUUUACAGAUGAACUGUGCAAAUAGUUUUUGUUUUCAUGUAUAUUUAAUGCUCCAUGCAUGUGCCGUAAGAUUCGAUGUGACGGAGAAUCUUGAAAAUUUUUGGUAACUAAACAAGGCCUAAGUUUAAGCCCAAGACAGCUGGAGGUCUUGGUGUCAUAGACCUAAGACAACAGAACAAUGCUCUUCUUCUAAAGAAUCUUCACAAGUUCUUUAACAGACUGGAUAUUCCUUGGGUUCACCUAGUUUGGGAGAAAUCAUAUAAGAAUGGUAAGCUGCCUAAUCAUACCAAAAAAGGAUCUUUUUGGUGGAGGGACAAUCUUAAGCUGCUGGAGAGUUUUAAGAGCUGUACAUCUGUGGUAGUGGGUGAUGGAUUGUCAUGUUUUUUCUGGAAGGAUAAGUGGAUAAACCCCUGCCCUGCCCAAGUGUUCCCUGAACUCUUCUCCUUUGCAAAAACCCCCACUCUUACUGUCAAUGCAGUGUUAACAACAGACACUAUGACUGAUCUUUUCCAAUUGCCUCUGUCUGAAGAAGCCCUGGUACAAUUCAACUCUUUGCAAGAGACCUGUGAUCAGAACACAUCUUCAGAGGGUAAAGACAGAUGGUGCUACACUUGGGGCAAUGACAUUUUUUCCUCAGCUAAAAUCUAUAGGUCACUCAUUGAUUGCCCUCCUGCUCAUCAAGCCUUUCACUGGAUUUGGAAAUCCCCAUGCCAGCCCAAGCAUAAAAUAUUCUUCUGGCUAAUACUGAAGGACAGACUAAGCACAAGGGGUUUGUUAAGGAGAAGAAAUAUGGUGCUUGACGAUUAUAACUGUGUGCUGUGUGACAACAGGGAAGAAGAGUCACUUUUGCACCUUAUGAUCCAGUGCCGAUUUGCAAAGGACUGUUGGGGCCUGAUCCAUGUCAGUAUCGCAAGCUCAGGCUGCUUUGUAGACAUCACUGAAGAUCUCAAGAGUCAGCUUCGUUCAAGCUUUUUCAUGGUGCUGGUCAUUCUUACCUGCUGGUCAAUCUGGGUAGCAAGGAACAAUUGCAUUUUCAAUAGUCUUCAACCCUCCGUCACUGACGUCAAGGAAACUUUACUUCAGGAGCUCAGGCUAGUAAAGCUAAGAAUUAAGAAAGAACAGCAACCCAUUUUUUCCCAAUGGAUCAGAAGCUUUUUUUCCAAAUUUUUAAUGUCCUCUCUUUGGUUGUUGUCUUUCUUUCUUUUCUUUCUCUUUGAUGUUCCCUAGCUUCUUAGAGUUCUUUUUUCUCUUUUCUCUCUUUUUGAUCUGUAAUCCCUGUACUGCUCUUUUCACUCCAAUAAAUCUCCUGUAGGGGCUCGGCCCUCCAGUUUCGUCAAAAAAAAAGUAACAGAGGAGGUGAGCAGAGCUACCGCCCGCUACCAGUUGCUGUGGAAGCUGGGUGCUACAGCCGCGCUCGCCUCUGCUGCCGAGAUCGUGUUCGUGUCUGUCGGACCACAAAACGCAAAGGGCCCGCUGGCAGCCUACCGUUCGCAUCGGAAUCGGAUCGCCGUCUGAAAGAUUCUCGACUGUGCAGGCAGGGGCAUCCAUCAUCGUAUUCUACGAACCCAUCAGUUGGCUGGCCCAUGCAUGCCGUGCCGACGCCGCGCUAGCUCGGGCAGUGCACAGUGCAGGCCGCCGCCGCCGCCGCUCGAGGCGGUCGCGCGCGGAAGUGACCGCGAAGGCGAGCCAGUGCUGUGAGGUUGCUAUCGGGUGCCGUCGUCGUCCAGGCUUUGGCGCAGCGAGGCAGGCAAAGGCAUUUGGCAAAGCAUGGCUCGCUGCGCCGGGCAGGCGGACGGCACGGAUGCGGGAUGCCUGCUGCGGUGGCCGGUGGCGGUGCAGGACGCAGCAACAAGUCGGGUCGCUUUCGGCCCUAGCCGAUGAUUCCAUUCCGUACGGGCUCGUGUCAGCUGCGAGUAUCUUUUCUUUUUCUUUUCUUUGGCGCAGCGAGUUCUGAUGGAGCACUCUGAUCAUCUUCUGCCUCGGCGCCCAUGGAAUUCCGUGCCGGUCUUGUCGAUCGAUCCUUUUGCUUCCGUCUUGGGUCCCACAUGGGCACUCUGUUUUGUACCCUGGAGGCCCAGAAGGACGGACUUCGCUAGCGGUGUUCUUCAAGCUCCAUAGUUUUGUUUAUGGGCCGUACUUGCUACAGGGUAUCCUAACCAUAUGGGCCUAAUUCGCGUCAGAAGUUUCCUGCCAUAAGUGGAGCACCAUGCUUUGUCGUGUUUGGGCCCUCCAAAUGGUCAGCCCAUACUCAUGUGAGGCAAGAGUACAGGCGUACAGCCUGUUUCGAGCCUUACCAUCAGAUGACUACAUUUACAGCCGAAAGCAAAAUAUUGAGAUGCAUAUUCAGAACAAGAAGCACAGAGUUCCUGUACCACAGGUCACAGGAGAUACUUCUGCUGAUGGCAAUGGAGUGCAUCCAUAGCCUCCAUCCACCUUCCACCCCAUUGCUAACAACUCAUACAAUACUGAUCUCAGGUAGCACUAGAGAGAGAGAGAGAGAGAGAGAGAGAGAGAGAGAGAGAGAGAGAGAGAGCAUAGAUACCGGCCAUUGCCUACACAAGUGCGUAGGUAUCGUGCUACUACCAACUUACCAAGUCACCAUACACUACAACUGUUGAUAUUAGCUACAUGAUGCCCCCUCGUUGGCUUAUUUCUCAAAUGCUAGGAGCUUGGUGCUAAGGUCACUGUCACUUCCUGUUGUCCUCUUGGUCGCAUAGAACUCAACAUACACCUUCUUCAUCUUGGGUGUUAGCCACAGUGUAGCUGUGCAGACAAGUGAUAGGAUAACAACACCUGGCCAAGGAUCCCACCAGUUGUCAGACACCAUUACCAUCACCACCACGAUGCCAACGUAAAACAGGUGGUACACAACGAAGGAAAUGUCCUGCAUGGUAGAGACAAGUGAUAAUAGUAAAAGAUAAGGCAACCGGCAAACAAAUAAUGUGUUAGCUCCUCUAUGCAAGAAAGAAAGACGAAAAUAAUGAAAUAGGACAAAAAUAGUGCUAGUAUGAUUUUGAAAACUCCACGUAAGUAUGAUUUUGCAAAGAGUUUUCACGAUUGUAUCAAAGAUAUUGUUUGCACUGAAUAUUUUUCUUUUGUACAAGGCAAAAUAUUCACAGCAAUCGUGAAAACCCUUUGCAAAACUAUAAUUAGGAGUUAUUACAGAAAAACUAUAAUUAAGAGUUUUCAAAAAUUUUGAAACUAUGCACACCAAUAGUGCAUAUGUAGAUGCGCAGUGUCACAAUUUGAGAUUCAUACUUCUUUCGCAAAAAAUACGUAUGAAAAUAAUAAAUUUCAGUUGCAUAUGCACUAGGUAGACUUUCUCAUGGAGUUGGCAUUUUUAAAAUUUUAACCCAGAACAAUUUUCUUGUGAAACUAUAGUACUUAUCCCGAACAUGGAAUGCUUUUCUAAUGAAAAUUAGAGCACUCGUCUCUUGAAAAUGAAAAAUGAUGUUGUUCAACAAAAUAGUGUUCUUGCUUCAUGAGAAAAAAAUUGCUAUGUUUAAAUUUCGACUAAAAACGCUCAACUGAGAUGUUGUCUCGAAUGAUGAUUUUAUAAAAUAAGAUACCCGAGGACAAUCAGUACUUAAUUUGUAUGCAUGCUUUGGAUUGGAAACUAUAAUUUUAUACCUUGCUAGAGAGUCCGGAAGCUUAUUUUAAAUAAAGCCUUCAUCUCUUCUUAAACAAAAAAAAUUAAAACCUGUUUUGUCAAGAUAUUUUGUCUCCGUUUGUCAACCAUUUUGUACGUGUGGAUGGAACGGAGGGGCCUUGUCGGUUUUUCCUCUCCUUUGAGCAAUUUUCCUCUCCUCUGUUGUUCAUCCACUCCAUUUAAUCCUGAGGCCCACAACGGACUAGCCCAAGGCCCACGACGUAUCUGGGCCAAGGCCCAGCUAACUUCUGGGCCUUACUUACAUCUGCGAUGCAGUACGUGCUGACGUGUGCAGGUAUAAUCAGGAUUUUGCUAAAAAAAAGGUACAAUCAGGAUCAGAGAAGCCGCCAUCAGGCAACAGUGGUUCACUUGUGUCACCAUCGGAACAACCGAGACAAAGAAAAAUCUAUAAAACCCCAUUGCGAGUUCGUCAAUCAGACGAGCAUCGCUUUCCUGGUGUUUAUUAAACGUCACCUCCUCGAUCCUCCUGCUGCUACAAAAUGCCAUGCUAUAAAUAGAUCCUUUUGAAUUUCAGGCUCGUAUAGCUUGGCAGACAAGGGGCGAUUUCUUUUGAUUUUACGGAUUACUGUUGGUGAUUAGGUUGGGUCUAGUUUUAAAUUUGGUAGCCUGCAGUAGUACCGCCUAGCAUAGCAGCUAACAGGAUUUUCCCAAUCCCAUGGCCCAGCAUGAUGCCACACCCACCGUGCGUGGCGAGUGGUUUACCUGCACGUAGCCAAGCACCGCGCGUCGUCACUGCGUACUUAAAAUUCAACUAAACCUUUGGAAAGUCGUAAAGAAUAUAUAUAAUAGUAUUUAUCUCUUUUGAAAAGUUCAAUAAAGGUCUGCCCAAUUAUUCGGAGCACUUUCGUCAUUUGCAGACAGAAGAACCAAUUUGUUGCGCAGCGCAGCGAAAAUAAUGCGACUAAACUGACGCCGCAAUGCCAUGCAGAUCAUCAGGCGUUGCGUUGUCCUGUCAGAGAGCACUCAGCUGCUGAUUCAGUCGUCCAGAUCCACAGGAAAUGAACUACUAAACAGUGCUACUGAGAAGUGAGAACCCAGCUAAUAGCAGCAGUGCAUGCCUAGAGCUAGCUGGGUACGUAGAGUGGAUUAAUAAGAUUCGUAAAGAAGAUUAUCAUCAGCUCCAGCCUUGAGCUUUGGCAAGAGCCAUGCGUGUCGGGAACUCGGGAUAUUCUAAGCAGCGUCUGGUGAUGGUGUGGCGACGCAGCAUGAUGACUGAUGAUGAAAAAGAUUGGCGAUCUGAGCUAGUAAUGCAGCGGGAGAUUUGAUCUGCUCCAACCACCACUGCACCCCCCGGAAAAAAGGCAUCGAUCGCGCGGUGCGGUUGCCGGCAGUCAGCAACCAAAACCACGCCCUGAAAUGAAGCAGGCAGGCAGGCAGGCAGGCAAGAUCGAAUCCUGCUGCCCUGGAUCGGCGCACGUCCGCAUGCAUGUUUUACAGCGACGUCGACCGACCGCGACCGCCCUAAUUCCAUGCAGCUAAAAACUUUUCCUCUGAGAACGACCUGCAUGCAGGCAAGGUUCGUCUGAAUUGCAACACUAGCUAGUAGGCGAGGAUGCAGGUGGAGCAGCUAGCGUAUUUUGCCUUGUUGCGUUUGCAAAUACUAUAUGUAUAAUGCCUAUAGAUUUGUUAGUAUAUGUUUUGCUGCAGUUGAUGAAACACGUAGCUAGCUAGCUUUAGGUUUUUCUUUUCUCCGUCACUAGAGACUAGACCAUGUGCAUACGUGAUACGCGUCUCUUUCUGUCUGGAUGAUCCUGAUUCUGAAAGCGGCUGGACGUACGUAACACGUGGGGCUGCUGUUGCUUUCUAUCCGUUUCCAUUCCCAUGCCUCCAUUUCCACUACAGCCAGACGCUACUAAGGCCUUGUUUAGUUCGCAAAAUUUUUCAAGAUUUCCCGUCACAUCAAAUCUUGCGGCACAUGCAUAGAGCAUUAAAUAUAGAUGAAAACAAAAACUAUUUGCACAGUUCAUCUGUAAACCGCGAGAUGAAUCUUUUGAGUCUAGUUACUCUGUAAUUAGACAAUGUUUGUCAAAUAAAAACGAAAGUGCUACAGUGCCGUUUUUCAACAUUUUUUGCGAACUGAACAAGGCCUAACAUAUUCCAAUAAUCCAUCGUCUUUACAUGCAUUGGCUGCAGACUGAGACCUGCUUCACCUUUGACGAAAGAUAGAUCGUCCAAUGAAUCGAUUGUUGACUGGCUAACUGCAUGCGUAUGAUCAGACUGUCAGCAGAUGCGGCGUGCAAUGUGGGAACAUCCUGACACUACAGGUUCAGGUUCAGGUUCCGAGAGAGCGCAAGCAGAGCGCGUGCACUGGGCAGGUUGAUGCUUGAGCUUGACGAACGCACAGACCGAUGGACCGGCCGGCCGGCCGGCAUCUCGAUCGCUCCGAUCCGUCCACUGCAGGCAGGUCCUCGAUCUCGCUAAUAAACUGACACUGUUGUCAUUUGUGACUUGUCAAAUGCAUGCGCUGCCUGGAGUGGUCGAGCUCAUGACACGAAUGCACGCACGGUUGCAGUUAGCUAGUACUAGAUGCGCUGUUACUUGCUACAGCCUCCAGGUUCCUUGUAGCAGCACGUGGGAGAAUAGCCACGAUUCAGGUAACCGAUGACGGACGUCUUAGGCCUUGUUUAGUUCAGCCUCAAAACAAAAAAGUUUUCAAAAUUUCCCGUCACAUCGAAUUUUGUGGCACGAAACAUUAAAUAUAGACAAAAACAAAAACUAAUUACACAAUUUAGCUGUAAAUUACAAGACGAAUAUUUUGAUUCUAGUUAGUCCAUAAUUAGAUAAUAUUUGUCACAAACAAACGAAAGUGCUACAGUUCCGAAAAGUUUUCACUUUUCAGAACUAAACAAGGCCUUAUUUAGUUGGCAAAAUUUUUUAGUUUCGUUUAUGAUAGUAUUUUUGUUUAUAUUUGAUAAAUAUUUUUUUAAUCAUAAACUAACUAAAUUUAAAAAUUUUAUCAAAUAAAUUAUAGACAAACUGUAUAAUUAGUUUUUAUUUAUUUUUAAAUUUAAUGUUUCAUAUAUAUGUGUUGUAAAAUCUGACGUGAUGGAAAUCUUUAAAAUUUUUGAGUAAUUUUUGGACUAAACAAGGCCUGACUGCGUAGCUGCUGCUCUGUCGAGGAUGCGUUCGUUGCUCAUCGGUCGGAAUUCCCAUCGGUCAGCGCAUUUACGUAGUCUGCAUGCAUUUACGUCAUCAAAAAAACCCGAGCUUACGCCUAUAAAACGGUUUUUCAUGUAGACCAUACUCUAUCCAAUCUAGUUUGCAAGAGGUAGCAGCAUAUCACGAUUUUCUAAAUUACUAUUUGAUCAUUCAUUUAUUUCAUGUUAUAUUAAUUACCUAGUCAUUAUAAAUUUAUAUUAUUGGAUAUCAUAUGUGUUUGACUAUAAAUCUAAUAGUGUCAAUUUUGUAUCACAAUAGUUUAAGAUAGUUUGACUUUUGAUGUACGCGAAUUGACUUAUAAACCAGACCGGAUCGGAGGUAAUAAUGUCUAGCAGAAGAGAGACGAAUCAUCGACCCAUAAAUUUCUGGUCGCAUUAGGCUAUACCCCGUGCCCGUGAUAAACAAGAAUGGGAACCACAUCAUGUUUUCUUUUUCAAUAAAAUACUAAGAUGGGUUAAAACCAUCCAAAAAACUGAAAUAUGGAACUAUAAUUCCACCUUGUUUCCAGCCCAAAUACAACACACUCUGGUUUGUAAUAUUCAUUCUAGGCCUUGUUUAGUUCCUAAAAUAUUUUGCAAAAUUUUUCACAUUCCUCAUCACAUCGAAUCUUGCGGCACAUGCAUGAAGCACUAAAUAUAAAUAAAAAAAAUAACUAAUUACAUAAAUUAUCUGUAAUUUGCGAGAUAAAUCUUUUAAGUCUAAUUAGUUUAUAAUUGGACAAUAUUUAUUAAAUACAAACGAAAACGUUACUGUUCAUAUUUUGUAAAAUAUUUUGAAACUAUACUAUCAGUUGCAUUGCAUACACAUGCAUGGUGUAUGUGGUGCCACCGUUGUUGGCAUUGAAUGUCCCUUAUUAGCUCCAUCUACACUACUUGUCGGAGGCGGUCAUGGUGUAUUAUUCUCGUUAUUAAUCACAUCAGUGAAUGGAAGGUAUCCUAGGAUAGAUCGGUACGCAUGUGUCUGCGGACCGGCCCGUGGCAGCCGCAGGAACAAAUAAUCACGCUGAGUCAAAAGUUUUUUAUUAUAAUACUUUUAUUUGUAUUUAGCAAUUAUUAUCUAAUUAUGGACUAAUUAGACUCAAAAUAUUCAUCUCAUAAAUUACAAGCAAAUUGUGUAAUUAUUUAUUUUUUUAUCUAUAUUUAAUGCUCUAUAAAUGUGCAGCAAAAUUCGAUGUGACGAAAAAUUUUGAAAAGUUUUUAGCUUUUAGAAGGAACUAAAGAAGGCCUCAUAGUACUCAAGAUAAAUUUUGAUGGGGUUUUUUUCACAAGAAGAAAGGAAAUGUGAACGGGGUUUCAUUACGAGAGUUCAUGAUAGAUUAGCAAUGUUAGCCGGUACAGGGAGACUUGCCUGAACUUAACUAUUAAAUCUGCCAGUCAUUUAUCAGUAUUUUUUCUCACAACAAAUCAAUAAAGAGUACUUUCAGUCAUAGCUUUUCAGCCAAGCAAAUUGGCUACACAUGAUGCCUUUAGUGUGGAGAUCCAUCGUUGCCUUGCAGUUCUUACUGUAGCGAUUGAUCAAGGGAUGUCUCAUAUUUUCCUAGAACGAGACUCAACAAUUCUAGUACGGGGUCUUCAGUCUAGUGACUAUGAUUUCUCGGCCACCAGUGUUUUCAUUAGAGAAGCAAAAUUUCUAAUUUCUAUGAUUUUUGUGCAUGUAGAUAUGGUCCAUGCGCCGUGAUCAUGUAAUAAUGGCGCUCAUGAAAUUGCUCGGGUUGGCUUGAGUUAGGAUCUAGAUCAAUCGCAUGUUUGGACUGAUCUCCUCCUAGAGUUUGUAAUUUCUUGGGUAACUCUGGGACUCAAGUGAACCCAUGAAAAGACAAUAAAAUGAUUGCUUUGUUUCCAAAAAGAUAAUGGAGUCAAGUUACAAAAUCAAAGUUAUACAAUAGGUGGCUCUUAUCUUAUACUCCUAUAAAGCUAAACCCCACUACCUAUUUCUCUCAACAUGUAAGUUGUCCACCUAAGCAACCCACUAUCACACAUAAUUAAAAAUCCACUAGCUCAUGCAAUUGUAGUGUCCACGUCAGCAAGUCAUCAUAUUUCUCUCAACGUGCAAGUUGUCCAACUAAGCAAUGCACUAUACACACAACUAAAACCACUAGCCAUAUAAUUGUAAUGUCCACAUCAGCAAGACACAUAAGUAUUUUGUUUGUCCACAUAAUCAUGCCACGUAAUCUACCGCAUUCCCGCAGCAACGCACUCCGUAUUCUCCUCGUUUAACUUAAAAAAUCUCUCUCCUAAUCCUCCUCACUACACUUUCUACUUAGGGCCACUAAAAUACGCUUCUGUGUCUAGCUUAGUGCUUGUAUGAGAGCUAAGCUCUCAUCUCUCUCCUCUCUUUUCUUCUCCACAUCAGCAUUAUCUUAAGAUUCAUCCAUAACCAUAGGGCGACACAUUUCAACUUGAGAUUUGUUUUCUCCCGCUCACAGAGAAGAAAAACUUGGGAUUAGUUUUAUUGCACCACUUGCGUUCAUUUAAUCAUACAGUAGCCUCUCAGUAUAGGAUUUAGAAGUCAUUUAGGACAAAGACACGGUCUCCAAAACAUAACUUUGACAUCUUAUUUUUAUAAAAAUAUUUAGAAAAAAUGAUAUAUAUAUAAUUUUAUGAAAAUAUUUUCCAAAAUAUUCAUAUAAUUUUAAAAUUUACAAACUCAACAAUUUAAAGUUAUUGAUGAUUUAUGUUCACAAUCUUUGAUCCAAACCUUAUCCAAAACAAUUUCUAAAUCUAAUACGGAGGGAGUAGACUGUAUAUACUAUAUGCUAGCUGAUGUGACUUUAUAUAUUUUAUUUUAAAAAUCCUCUCAACUGUGCUUUAUUCGGGAAAAAAGACGGAUCAGAACAACUUUUCUUAAUAACUAAUAAUAGAGAACAACUUUUCUUAAUAACUAAUAAUAUUAGGAGAAGAGAUGAAUCAGGUAAGGUUGCGAACUGAUCAUAGAUCAGCUGGUUCAAAUCCUUAUAGUGAAAUCUAUCCACUUAGGUUUAAGUCCCCGACUUAAUAUAGGUGAUUGUAUUUUUCUAGAUUAUUCUAGGAUUUAACGGCGCUAUGAUUUUAGUGGUAGGCAACGUGCGCGUCAAUAACAAGGUGUCUAUAGUGAUUUCGCUAAUCUUGAGAUUUGCCGGUUCACCUCGGUUUUUCAGAGAUGGUCAUAGAGGUAGUGUGUGCGUGCGUGUAUUCAUUGGAAUGAGUGUACGCGUGUAUAUAUGAACGUUUGCGUUUGUAACUAAAUCUAAAAUCAGGCAAGGUUAUUGCGCGCUAGCAUUAUGCCAUUCCUCGUUUACGCCCAAUAUUAAGUUUCUUGAUAUUGUCAUGCUAUGCUCCCUCUCCUUUUCUUUGGCAACGAUUAUGCCGAGUCGAAUCGAAGGCCAUGCAUAGGCGCUUUGAGUUUUUUUAAUUUUUUUUGUGAUUUAUCACCUCUUCAUUUUUUAAUUGUGCCUCAGCACCUGGUUUUCUCACCAAUUUUCUUUGCAGAUAUUGUCGGACAUCUAUAGAACAAAAAAAGGCAGGUGACGCGCCCAUAUAUAGCUAGCGAUCGAAGCUCUGAGCUCUCUAUAUGUGUCUUCAUGAAUGUCUUGUAGUUGUAGACGUACGUAUAUCACAUGCAUGUUAGGUGCCGUACAGUGUCAUAUAGAUGCAUGCAUACUUAAAUACAUUGUCAUCAGUUUACUAAUGAUGAUUAAGGCCGUCCUGUGUGGCAAUCUAAAAAGAACGAACGACCACCGGCCAGGCGAUGUACUUGUUAUACUAGCGACUGCACUUCACAAAUUCUAGUAAGCAGUAGUAUCUAACUGCUGCAUGCAUGCAGUGCAAGUCUGCAAGAUGCAGGGCCGGUGGUGUCACCUACCGCUAAUGGUCCCUUUAACCAUAUGUAUUUCCGUACGGCAUAUAUGUGCCAACGAGGGUUCACAGAUCUCGUGUCGUAGCCCGCGAGGUCGCGCACGCACCUGUCAUCGUACGGUGCCUAAUUAUUAUUCUUGUCGGACCGUAGGAAAAUUAAAGAAAACCAUUAAGGCCUUGAUUAGUUUACUCUGAAAACCAAAAAGUUUUCAAGAUUUCAUGUCACGUCCAUGCAUGAAGUAUUAAAUAUUGACAAAAAUAAAAACUAAUCACACAGUUUGUCUGUAAAUCAGUUUGUCUGUAAAUCGCGAGACGGAUCUUUUGACCUUAGUUAGUCUAUGAUUAGAUAAUAUUUACUAUAAACAAACGAAAGUGCUACAGUAGCGAAAUCCAAAAAAAAUUCACAUCUAUAAACAAGGCCUAAUUAUAUAGACACCCUCUAGUAUAGGAACAGUUUUUGUUGUCUCCUGUUUUUCCCCAUAGACGGCUCAUAAAGAGCAGGCGCCAAACAGAUGUGUGGGUGCGUGGCUAUGAACCGCAGAUACUCCUACAAUGACAGCAGUGUCAAGCGAAUCACUGUGUUAAUCCUAGUGAUCUAUAUUGACGGUUCACUUAACAAUAUCACUAGUAUAAAUGAAUUAUAUCAAUUCUUUGUCUAGUCGAUGACUUGACUAUUAUUUGAAGUUAAUAAAGUUGCAUGAUGCAUGGCUUUCCCCAACAAGGAUACGGACACUAUAACACUUCUUCUUGAGCCAUCUUCGGAUCUUCCAUUGUCGGUGUCCUCGAAAGUCUAUAAAUUACAAAAUACAACGAAGAGGUUUAUAUCUUUAUUUUUUAAAAAGAGCUUGCUCAGAUCGAGAAGGUUAGGCCUUGUUUAGUUCGAAAUCGAAAAGUUCUUGAGUGUCACAUUGGAUGUCAUAUAGGAUGUCGCAUAACGUGUCCGGAUACUAAUGGAAAAAAAAUUACAUAAUCUGUCAGGACCACGAGACAAAUUUAUUAAGUCUAAUUAAUCUAUUAUUAGCAUAUGUGUAAGUGUAGCAAUUAGUGUUUAAUCAUAUAUUAAUUAGACUUAAAAGAUUCACCUCUCAAAAUCCAAUUAAUCUAUGCAGUUAAAUUUUUGUUUUAUCUACAUUUAAUACUUGAUUCAUGUGUCUAAAUAUUUGAUAUGAUAGGAUAAAAAGUUUUUGGAUGGGAACUAAACAAGACCUUAGUUAAUAUCUAUCUCUUGUCUUUUGGAUGAGUCCUUGUAAUACCCGAUUUUAAGGAUAAAACCAGAUAUGCACCAUAUGUGAGUCUUAGAAGUCAAAUAUCACAUAUAGCUACAAAUAAGAGGUAAUAUCAAAAGACAAUGCAUAAAUAUAUAACGUACUUAGUAUAAAAGAGAUAACCUUUAAUAACAAACAGCGGAUAGACAACUCCAAACUUCGGGUAUUAACUUCUCUCUACAGGAUCCAACUGACUGGUUGAUCACAAGCCUAACACAUCUCCUGAAGUGUGGGGGAAAUAGCAAGAGUGAGUCCAUGUCGAACUCCACAAGUAUAGCAGCUAGAUUGUAUAGCUCUCACAAUCUCAUGAUCAAUGUGACAUAAAUAAUGUAUAGCAUUAAAUAAUAAAUAAUGAGCAUAUUUAACACAUAGGAAUCAUUAUCGUCGCAGCAAGAAUCUCCAAGGCCGCUCCUGACCGUGAGCUCGGCUAGUAUACUAGUUUUUCACCCUCUGCAGAGGUUGCACAUCUUUACCCAUGAGUCAUGAUUUACCCUUUCGCCCGAGGUAGCUAGUCUCUUACCCCCCUUCCUAGGGAGGUCGGCAGGGAUCACUAUGAAGUCUUUCAAAGGUUCGUCUAACAAGUUAGGGCCGCUUGGUUUCAUUAGUCAGUCCGUGUGAUUCACCCGCAGGAAUCCACGGUCUGCUAUUCCCCAACUGCGCCACAACGGGUAACUUCUAACGAGCUAGAAAAGUUACUCAUACUUAACUAAAGCCAGAGCCAUUAUAGCCCUCGUGGUUGCACUGUUGUCCCGGUUAUCACUUACAGAUAAAUCAUCAAGUGGCUAAAGAGUCAUUUUUAUCAUUUAUUACUUAACAUUAAUCUAGUCACGGGAUCAUGGUCACAGAAAUAAAAUCCAAAUGCUAUACUUGCCUUGAUCCAAAUGCUCUUGCUGAUCCUGCUGAUCGUGAUCACCGAAACUGCUCUCCGUCUAAACUCGAUCAUCGAUCACACAAACAAUCGAUGGAAACAUACACGAAGCAAACAAGACUACAAUUAGAACAGUACACCAUUCAUAUAAAAACAGUAUGAAUAGUUUAAAAAAUGAUUCUACGCAUCGCUACGAUCUCACAGACGAAAAGAUCAUGAAAAUCGGAGCUAAAACGGAGAAGUUAUGAAUUUUCUAAGAUUUUAUGUAGAAAAGAAAUUAAUUAAAUGCUACUGCGAAAAUAAAAAGUUUCAAAACAGUGAAUAAACACUUCUAACAUGUAGAGCUCGUAAAUAUGAAUCUAACGAAAUUUGAAUGGACAAAAACGGAGUUAAAACGAAUAUUUUAUAAGCAAAACAAAUUCAAUGGCAAAACUGUGAAUAACUGAAAACAUAUUUUGUUUUAAACCGACGAAAAUACGCUUUCUUCUCAGCAAGGCGUGUUUUCCAGGGGCGCCAAGGACCGCGGGUUGAAAACCAAGAAAUCCAGGGACUCUUAAAAAAAAUACGCAGCGAAGGGGUAUCGGUGUUUCCUGGCCGUCGAUCUGCAAAUGGACGGCAUCGGCGUGUCCAGGGUGCUGGGCAGCGGUCCGGCCAGCAGGCUGCCGGCUUCGGUGCGGUGGUUUCCAUUACCGGCCGAGCUCGCCGGCGACGACGGGCUUCUCGAUUCCGAGCACCGUUUCGCGAAAGGAAAACACCACGGGGUAGAGGAGCUCACCGCGAGUUCAAAGAGGUGCUCGGUUGGGGCCGAAGGGCAAGGAGCGGGGCUCGCGGCGAGCGGCAGUUCGUCCCCGACCUCGACGAGAUUUCCAAGCUGAGGAAGACGGCGGCUAGGGCUCGGUUAGGGUGUCCUGGAUGCCAAAAAAGGAGUUGCGAAGUGGAGAGAGAGUUUUAUAGGGAUUUGAUUCGCGCAAAAGGCAAGAAAUCGCGGCUUUCUGGGAUCGGGUUCGGCGUAGAAGGAAUCCUGCUCGAUUACGGCUGAAGGUAAGGGAUCUGAAGGUAAGGGAUGGGCGCUGUCCAGUGGGCCCGAGCUGCCAGAGAGAAAGAAAGGUGGGGCCCGUUCGUCAUCCAGACAGAGAGAGGGGAGGGAGUGCGCCCAGCUAGCCGGCUCGGCAUGGGCCUCAGUUUGGGCCGGGGCGGGAGGAUGGCUGCGGGCUUACUGGGCCACCAGGCCGAUGGAGCUGAGGUAAGUUCUCCUUUCUUUGUUUUUUUCUCUUUUUCUUUUCUAAUUCAUUUUCCAAAGCCUUUUCUAAAUAAAAUUUUGAAUGCAAACAAUUUCAAAACAAAAGCAAUCAGCAUAAAAUAAAAUAUGCUCCAGCAUGAAUGCACAGCAACGUUUAUAAACCCUAGGAUUAAUUUUAUUUAAAUGAAAAUAUUAUUUUCCUAUGUUUCAUGAGCACAGAAAACAACAAAUUAAAUCAUUUUUCACCUACUUCAUGAGUUAUAAAUUUUAGGGUGUUACAGUCCUCCACAAUUUGUCAUGUAAUUAGAUCUAGGUUUUCAUGGUUGAUGUAUUGAGAAAGAGAGAGAUCUCUAGAAAGCAUGGUGUUUGAGUAUUUUAAAUAUCCAUAAGAAACAAAGUUUAACGGCUACCUUCACAUUUCUUCCAUUAAAGAAGAUUAAAUUAAUUAUGCAUACCUAUAUGUUAAAUUAUGCAUUAGUGAUUGUAAUGUUUAUUUAAAUGAUUAAAAUAUCCAAGAAAUCUACAUGUAGGAAAAAAUAUUUUCUCAAUUGUUUAAAAUUUUAACCUCCACUACUACAAAAAUGAUUUUGCCAGACGGUUCCGUUUUAUUAGCGGAGGCGGUCACAAAAUUCAACCGCCUUGGUUAAUGGCUACGAUUAACAGAGACAAGCAUUUUUUAUUUACCGAGGCGGACACUUUUGGCCACCUCCUAAAAUUGAUUUAUAGAGACGGGCAUAUUAAGGCAACCGCCUCCAAAAAUCCUCUAUUUGUGAGGCGGUCAACUAUAGAUACGUGCCUCCGUAAAUCUAUUUUUGGAGGCGGGCACACUAUAAGGCCUGCCACCGAAAAGGACGAGGCCCAACAGGCCCAGCGAGGCUCGAUAUCCGACUUCAAGUAUAAAUACAUAGACUCUAGGGUUUUCACUCCUCUCUCUCCUUUUGUCUAACCGCCUUCGUCUCCCAUCCCACCGCGCGGCCUACGCGAGACCGAGCCGUCUCCCUUAGAUGCUCGCCUCCAUCUCCCUCUUCCUCUCGACUCUGGCGUCCCUCUCCCUCUCCCUCUCCACUCUGGCCUCCCUCUCUUGGUAGCGCGUGGAACCCCCUCCUACGGCGAUAGCCCCUCUUGCGCGCCCCUGCAGCAGUCCUACGCGGAGCAUGCGCGGCACCCGUGUCAGAGCUCGCACGACCCUCACACUGAAGCUCGCACAACCCUUACAACGUCGCUCUGCGAAGAUCGUCUGGCGCUCCGCAAGGAGGCGACGGUCUACAGCCGUGGUGCUCCCUGGCAAGAGGAUCCUGCGCUCCAUGAGGAGACAACAGGAUUCAACAUGCACGUCUCUGGGCAGGGGUGACGCAGAUCUAGCGGCGGUGGCUCAGGGGCUCGGCACCUCUAGCAGGAUCUCUAACUUUAGCGGCGGUGGCUCAGGAUCUCCACCUCCAGCGCCUCAGGGUCCGGCAGUGGUGGCAGGCCGCUCCCUUCUCCACCUCCAGUGGCGGCUCUAGAUCUUCUUCUCCGACCUAGCCCAGAUCCGAGGAGCGGAGUGGUAGAUCCAGCGAGUGGAACUAUAGAUCUGGCGAGUGGAACUACGGAUCUAGCUAGCAGCAGCCUCCUCCUGUGGAUAGGCUCGGCGAGCCCAUGGAUGGGCUCGGUAGGCCUAUCCAUAUGAUUUUCUUUAUUUUUUUGUAUUAAUUAACCAAGGUGGGCAAAGCGCCUGCUUCCAUGUCAGUGCAUUAACCGUGACCUUUCAUUGGAGGUGGUUGCCCACCUCCAAAAAUCCAAAAUGCCCUCCUCCAAAAAGUUUGGAGUAGUAGUGCUCAUGAUCUAGGUUUAGAUGGUGAUUUAGAGUAUUUAUAUAGAGUAGUUAAUUAUUCAAAUGUAUAUAUGUUACUGAUUAUAAUGUGUAUUCAAAUGAUUACAAUAAAAAUGUUUAAAAUAUUCAUGACUAUUUAUCAAUGUCAUUUUUAUUCAUUUAACUAAAAUUAUCACUAUAAUUAAACCAGAUUGUUGUCGACAUUGUGGGCCGCAGUUGGGUAUUGUACCGAAUCAAACCCUAGAGGUCAACCCAAGCCCCUAAUAUCUAGCCUCCUAAUAAACCCUAAUGAUGGAUUUUGUGAGGCAAAGCGACAUUUGUAGAGCUGGCAUGGGGGCAGAUAGGUGAUGGCGAAGCACACGGCGAGGCUGGGAGGCGGGAGGGCGUGUGCAGGUACAAGGGGAUGGUCGAGAGAAGAUAUGUGAAGAAGGAGAAGAGACGUGGGAUCCUGAGCAAAGGGGUCAGGGGAAGAGAGGCCGGACUUCAGUUGCCAAUUUACCAUAUUGAAUGACCUUUUGGGUCCGUGGAGGCUACAAUCUGAGACACGGCUUCAAGUUUCUGGCCCAAACAAAAAAGCGCUGUGUGUUUGGGACUAGAAAUGGUCUAUGAAGUUUCAAUAUAUCAUAGACUUGCCUUGGUGGAACACACUUAUAAGAGCCAAGAUCGUUAUCAUAGACUCUUAGAUAAGUCUCUGAAAACUCGUCAUUAGUGACACAUUUUGUUUCCUGGCCAUGGGCGACACCUAACCAGUGACAUGUUAUGUUUAUCUCUAGUCUUACAUUGGAGACUCAUUUCAAUUUCGUAUCACUAAUGUUUGUCUCUUUUGUGGUGUUUUAGCAUAAUGGAAAGAGAGCUUGUGUGGUGCUAUACUACUACUUUUUUUUUACUUUACAUAUUAUAUACACCACCAUAGCGCCGGCCGUAGGACAUGUAGGAGAGCAGCACGUUAGGUGCUUAUAUAAUGCACUACAGCGUCAUACACGUAUAUUGUCUCGGUUUACUAAUAAUGAUGAUUGAUUAAGGAACAACUCACACCGGCCGUAGUCCUGUGGCAACCUAAAAAGAACGACCUGGCGCUGUACUGUUAGUAGUAGUAGCAGUAGAGUACGUUAUUAGCACAUGAAGACACGCACGCGACUGCACUUUACAAAUUCUAAUAAUAUAAGCAAUAGUAUAUCUAACUGCGCAUGCAUGCAGGCCGGUGUCACCGUUAAUGGUCCCUUAACCAUGUCGUAUGUGUGCGUGCCAAAGAGAGGGCUCACAGAUCUCGUGUGGUAGUGCGUACGAGGUGGCGCACGCACCUGUGUCGCCGUAUAUAUAUGGUACCCUAAUUAUUAGUAUUCUCGUGGGACUGGGACCGUAUACGAAAAUUAAAGAAAACCAAUAAUUAUAUACACACUGUACUCAUCGGCAAGAAGUAGACGAGUACUAGUAGCCAGCUGCAUCAGAUGGACCACACUGCAGGCUGGGUAGGCCAUCAGGAGUACAGUUAACUGGGACGCUAACACAUGAGUAGCAUGCAUCAUGUAUCAGGUCAUCACGCGGUGGCUCAACAACAUGUCUGCAUAUCUGAAUAAAUUAAAUAUACACACCAACAAAAGUUGGCAAACAUUAAGUACACGCACUUUGAUGAUAUCCGUUUUGUUUCUGAGAUAUCGUGCAUAUAUGGACUUGUUUAGGGUCUUGUUUAGUUCCAAAAAAUUUUGUAAAAUAGGAAUAAUACAACUUUCGUUUGUAUUUGACAAAUAUUAUUCAAACAUGUACUAACUAGACUCAAAAGAUUCGUCUCGUCAAUUCCGACAAAACUGUGCAAUUAGUUUUUAUUUUCGUCUAUAUUUAAUACUUCAUGUAUGCGUCUAAAGAUUUGAUAUGACGGAGAAUCUGAAAAAUUUUGCAAAAUUUUCUGGGAACUAAACAAGGCCCAGGCCUCAUUUACUUCCAUCCAAAAACUCAAAAUUUUUCAAGAUUUCUUAUCACAUCAAAUCUUUAGACGCAUGCAUGAAAUAUUAAAUAUAGAUUAAAAUAAAAACUAAUUGUACAGUUUAGUCGAAAUUGACGAGACGAAUCUUUUGAGCCUAGUUAGUCCAUGGUUGGACAAUAAUUACCACAAACAAACAAAAGUGCUACAGUGUCGCGAAUUUUUUUCCUUCGGGAACUAACCACGGCCGUUCACCCCAAAAACUAAAAAGUUUUUAGGAUUUCUCGUCACAUCGAAUCUUGCGGCACAUGCAUGAAGCAUUAAAUAUAAAUAAAAAUAAAAACUAAUUACACAGUUUGCUUUUAAAUCGCGAGAUGGAUCUUUUGAUCCUAGUUAAUCUAUGAUUAAACAAUAUUUGCCACAAAUAAACGAAAGUACUACAGUAGCGAAAUCCAAAAAGUUUUCGCAUCUAAACAACACCAUAUGUUGCUUUUAUCCAGGUUGUAGUUUCCUAACGGAAUUAUUGCCCGAGUUGGUAUCUUUUGUAUACAUAUACUACUCCACUACAUAUACAAGGGUCAGGUUACUUAAGACAGGCUUGCUGGUAACAACUAUACUGCACUAUAGGAUAAUAGUUGCUAGUAUAUAUGUACAGUAGUAAGUAGCUAGUAACAUAAGGUUUUUUUGAGGAAACAAUAACAUAAGGUUUUCAGCUAUGAAAAGUAAAUGAUAAUUAAAACUACUGGAACUGAUCUUGUUAACUUUUGUUGAUACUACUAUAUAUGCUGUACUUUUAGAUUAGUGGCGUCCAUACAAAUACUCAGAUGUGGUAGUGACUUUGAAAAGUCACUUCCCAUAAUAUAUAGUACUGAUCAGAUUAGUACAAAUCACAUGUAAUUAAAUAAGGGGAUCCAUGUGGUCCCCAUCGAUCGGACAAUUGAGUCCAGCUCUUAGUGGCGCUCGCGAGUUGAUUAGUGCACGUUGCAUAAGUCUUAGUUAAGAAAAAGUAAUAAAAAAGGAAAGAGAUUAAGUAUAUAUAUCACUAGUUUUUAUAUAAGCUAGCUAGCUAGCUAGGGCACUCUUUCUUUCAUGCCUACUCCUAUAUAUAUAGCUUCUAGGCCCCACCAUCAAUCGCUACCACUAGUAUUAGCUAGAGUGUGUAGUGUGUAAUAAACAACUCUGAAAGCGUGGCUAGUUAACGUUUGCGUUUACUAAUUUGCGCCGUACACUGUGAAUCACCAUUAACCUGCUCUCCUACAAAAGUGUAACACCCAAAAUUUGAUUUUCAAAUAAUAGGAUUUAAUUUAAUUUAUUUAAGUACUUUUGUGGGCAUAGAAAUCUAGCAACUAAAUAAUUAUGUGGGAAUUAAAAUUCAGUAUAGGUUUAGCAACCUUGAUUGAGCAUUCAUGCUGGAGCAUCUUUAUUUAUUUGUGCUGCUGGUAUAUGUUGGAUUUUAUUUGCUCUCAAAAUUUGAUUUUAAAAGGCUUUGGAAAAUUAAAAAAAAAAAGAAAAAAAAAAACAGCCGGACUCGGCUUGGUGGCCAAUUGGCCGUGAGGCCCAAACUGGCCAGCAGCGCGCGCACUCUCUCCCUCUCCCUCCUUUCUUUGGCUGACGGUUGGGGCCCCCACGUCAGCGCCCUUUCCUUCUUCCUCCCUGCCGUGCUCGAGCAGGAAACGAUUCCUCACCGAAUCGGAUCCGCGGAUCCCGCGAUUUCCUUGCCAAGCGCGCAAUCCGACCACUAUAAAGCUUCUAGCAUCGCUCCCUCGACAUGUUUUCGCAUCUAGGUCGCCAAAACCGAGUCCCCGUGCCUUGUUUCGCGAGUUCUGGAUCUCGCCGGGAGCUCUUUCCGCCGCCGCGCGUGGACACGCCCCUCUGCUAGCUCUCGGCCCGAGCCAAGCCCCCAGCUUCGUUCGCGGUGAGCUUCUCGCCCUCCCGGUAUUUUCCUUUCAAAAAACGGUGCUCGGAAAGGAGAAGCCGAGGAGCUCCGGCGAGUUUUCGCUCUCUGGCCAUGGCGGCCACCGCAUCGGACAGGGAGAGGCCAGCCGGCCACCGCCAAGGACCCCAGGAGCAGCUCGUGACCAUCCAACCGACGAUCAACGGCCGAGAUUAGAACAUACCUGUUCGCAGGGAAUUUUCAUAAAGAGUCCCUGGAAAGAUUGGUUAAUUACCCCGCGGUCCCUGGCGCCCUGGCACAGAUUACGUUUCCUUUGAUUGAAAGCGUAUUCCUGUCUGUUCAACUUGGUUUAUGUUUUCAGCUAAUUACAGAACUGCCACUGAACUUAGAUAGCUUAUAAAAUAUUCAUUUUAACUCUGUUUUUGUCCAUUCAAAUUGCGUUAGGUUCGUAAUUAUAUGCUCUACAUGAUAGAACUAUUUAUUCUCUGUUUUGAAACUUUUUAAUUUUCUGGUACUAUUUAAUUAAUUAUUUCUCUAUAGGAAAUCUUAGAAAAUUCAUAACUUUCACGUUUUAAUUCCGAUUUUCGUGAACUUUACGUUUGUGUGAUCGUAGCGCUGCGUAGAAUAUUUUGAUAAACUUUUAUAUUUGUUUUACCACUGUUUGGUGUAAUGUUCUAAUUAUACCUUGUUUGCUUUGUGUAUGAUUGUCUCCAUUGGAUUGCGUGUUGUUGAUUGAUGUUUGGGAAUAGACGGUGAGCUGUACGUUGGUGAUCAAGACCAAGCUUUUGAGGACCAGCAGGCUCAGGAGAGCUUUGAGCAAGGCAAGUAUAACUUGGGACCAUCCUUGUUACCUAUUCACUUAUAACUACAUAUAUAUAUCAUAUGCAUGCUACCACCUUGAUGACCGUAGCAAAAUCAUAGAUGAUUGUUAUCCUGAAUUCCUUGUUACCUAUUUGGAUAUGCAUUUGGGAAGUUCUUGCUAGUGCUUGAUUAAUAAUCCAUGAUCUUGUAACAUGAAUAUUUGAAUAUACAAUAAACAAUAAAAUAAGCUUUCUAGCAACUUGAAUAUAAAGGGUGGAAAGAACUCUAGCUUUUGCUGGAUUGAUCUUGACCCUCCAUAAGGACUUAUCCCUUGGCAAAAGCUGGGACAACUCGUACAACCAUGAGGGCUAUAUGGCUCUGGCUUUAGUCAAGUAUGAGUAAGCUUUUCUAGCUUGUUAGAGGUUACCCGAAAGGGCGGAGGGGCUGAACCGUUUUGGGUAUAGUGCGAGCCCCUGUCCUUAUGUGUAUAGGCUGCGCGUCAUUGUGCCAUUCGGAAGGGGGGUAUCUAUAUCUGCGCGCAAAGGAAACCUUGCGGCCCUAACUUGUUAGACGAACCUUUGAAAGACUUCAUAGUGAACCCUGCCGGUUUUCCUUGGAAGUGAGCUAAGAGGUCGACGGGCCUCGGGCAAAAGGGUAAAUCACGACUCAUGGGUAAAGAUGUACAACCUCUGCAGAGUGUUAAAUCUGGUAUACUAGCCGUGCCCACGGAUACGGGCGGCCCGGAAAACUGACGGAAUAAACGGACACUGAAGAACGUGAAUAAUGAUAAUAAAUGAUGGUUUAUUAUGUUGUUUAUAUGUGUUAUUCUUAAUUCUUGUAUACAUUGAUCAUGUGGUUAUGGGAUUUAAUUAUGCUACCUUGACAUUUGCUAUCCAAUGAUUAAAUAUGUUAUCAACUAUUAAAAGCUAAAUGCAGUCAAACCAGUGUCAGCUAUUUGAGCCUCAUGAACCCCUGGUUAUACUUGUUGAGUACGAUAUGUGCUCACUCUUGCAAUUUCCCAACACCCCAGGAUAUGAUAAUGAAGGUGACUGGAAUGAGGAUUAUCGUUAUGAGUACUAGGUUUGGAGUCAACCAGUCAACAGUGUCCCUGUGUGGAGCUUCCGUCGAGAGCGUUGUUUAAUAUUAUUAUCAUUUUUGUGUAAGACUAUGUGAUUUAUUAUGUUCCGCUAUGUAAUAAACACUGCAAUGGUACAAUUGAGAUUUGUCUACUUAUGUGUGCGACUAUUCCUGGGGCACAUAUGAGUCUUUUAUGCAUCCUAUUUUGUUCUUAAAAUAUGGGUGUGACAAAUUGGUAUCAAAGCUUUGUUGACUGUAGGACGCAAACCUAGUUAGCAAAGGGUCAAAAAUUUAGGUCCUUACUUUACUUACUUCAUGCUUCCCACUAUGGUCUUGUUAUUUGCUAAAAGUUUAUGCUUCUCUAUCUUGCUCUAUUGUGAAAUUAUUGCAUCCAUCUGAUCUAUGUCUAAAAACUUUUUGUAGAUGCCGCCUCGUACCCGCAGUGCUGCACGCAUGGCUGCUGAGGAGUACCGUGCCAUGUUCAACCUAGGAGGACAACGUGUGGAUGGAGUUCCUGAGCUGGAGGAUGAGGAAUCAAGGGUGGAAGCUCAGGAGGAAGGACCUGAGGAUGAGGAGAUGCAAGAUCUACCUCCACCACAGUCUGCUAAUGCAAGGAUGGGAUGGACUACUGAGCUGUGGAUUCUAGAAGCAGAUCCCAAGGCCUUCUUCCAUGAGAAUUUGGUGUUAACAUUGAAACACCAUUACCCGGAUUUGCAAGCCACACUGGAGUAUAACUGCACUGAGCACAAACACCCGCUGAGGAGAUCACUUUGGGUUGCAGAGCUGAUAGUCAAGACACUGGAUGCCACCAAGGGGAUUCGAAAGGUGGAAUCAAAACACAUCGCUCGAAUCAGCCGGGACACGAUGAGAGAGAGCAUGGCAGAUGCAGCUUACCAGGCCUUGAUCUUUUACCGUGGUAGACGCUUUGAGGAUGUUCAGUACAAUGCAACAUACCACUAUCCUCGCUUUGUACCAGAGAAGAUGACUUGGGCCAUAGAAGUUGCAGAUGCUUCACAACCAAAGCUUCAAGCACAAGUGGAGUUGACUUAUGAGCUGACACUCAAGGUGAUAGAGUUGGAGAAUGAACUACACCGUGAGAGGAAGCUGCUGGAGAAAGAGCAAAGGGAAGCGGAUGACCUUCGAGCGGAGUUAGGCCGCCCCAAACUUCAUAAGAGGCUGCAUGUUGAACCCAUCUUGAAGGAUGCUGCACCCGAGGAAUAGAAAAGAACCCAUAUGUAAUAGGAACGUUAGUAGUUUACGAGUUAUUUCGAGUCUUUUGCUAUUGUGGCGUGAACUUGGGGUGCUUGCUGAUUUGUUAUUAUGAAUAUGUGUGAUUUGGAUUUUUGUAAUGAGUGCUGGGACUUUGUGGGCAUGUCCACAAGUUCCCUAGUUAAGAACCUUAAGUAAGAACAUGAAUAAAUAGUGGGUUGGGGUCAUAUCCUGUUUCUGUCUUUUGCUGUUUUCUGGAGCAGUCUGCAAUGAUUCUGGAAUAAAUCAAAUUCUGCUCGUGCAAUGUUCAUCAAAUUUUUCUGGGAAAAAGUAGACUUUCAUAUAUUUCCAAUGCCGCAAGAAUGACCAUAUUAUCUAUUAUGAGCUGUGAGUUAUGACUGUUUAAAGUUGAGGUUUCUGCGCAGUCUGAAUUCUGGAACAGUUUCGGUUGUACCCAGUUUUUGGUUAACCUCACGUUGAAAUCUGGUAAUAUGAUCUAAAUGAAGGUUGUAGACAAUUUCUUUAUCUUUCCAACGGUGUACAGCAUGUAUCCUUUUGAAUUCUGGAACUCGAGAUAUUACUGAUUUUCUGAUCUGCUGAUGUUGGAUGCUACCCAGAAAAUUUCAGAUUCGGUUAACUCUUGUAAUUGUCAUGUUGGACAUUACUAAGAUGUGUUUAUAUACCUUGGAAUGCAGAUGGCAGCAAGGGGAAGAGGCAGAGGCAGAGGCCGUGGCAAUGGCAAUGACAAUGGCAAUGGUGGCAAUGCCCCAAUCACCGUGGAGGAACUCAUGCAAACCCAAAAUCAGAUGAUGCACGUUUUCAUGCAGCACCUGCAGCAACAACCUCCACCAACACCACCACCUGUUCAUGUGAGGGACAAGCGUGGAGAGUUUAUGAAGGGGAGACCUCCGGUAUUUACACACUCAGCUGAUCCCAUGGAGGCAGAUGAUUGGUUACGUGCUGUGGAGAGGCAGCUAAACAUAGCACAGUGCAAUGACUUGGAGAAGGUGUUGUAUGCUUCUGGACAGCUUCAAGGUGCAGCUCAGACAUGGUGGGAGUCGUAUCAAGCUGCUCGUCCCAACAAUGCUCCUCCUGUCACAUGGCUGGAAUUCUGUAGGGACUUCAGAGCUCGACACAUAAAUGAGGGAAUGAUGGAGCUCAAACAGGAAGAAUUCAGAUCACUCCGGAUGGGCUCCAUGACAGUGGCAGAAUAUCAUGACACGUUUGAACAGUUGGCUCGCUAUGCCCCGAAUGAAGUCAGGGAAGAUGCUGAUAAGCAGCGCUUGUUCAUGAAAGGCUUGUACUAUGAACUCAGGUUGCAGUUGGCAGGAAACACUUAUCCUACCUUUCAAGCUCUUGUGAAUCGUGCUAUCGUGCUUGAUAAUAUGCGGAAGAGUCAGGAUAAGAAGAGAAGGAUGCUGGUACAAGGAUCUGGGAGCAACAACCGUCAGCGUUUCAGUUCUCAUCAAGGCCAUCAGCAGAGGUUCCAGGGACCAGUUAGUCAGUGGAACCGUAACCAGCAACCCCAGCGUUUCCAGAAUCAGUCGCAGAGUGGGAACCAACGUCCUUCAUUCCAACAACGUAACUACAAUCAACAGCAGCAUGGUCAGCAGACACCUCGCUCAGGAAACUCAAAUGCCAACUCCACAAAAAGAAGUGCUUCUAACACUCCUACCAGGUGUUUCCGUUGUGGGGAAGAGGGACACAUGUCAUAUGAUUGCCCGGAGAAGCUCAACAAGCCGAACAACAACCAGAAGUCUACUGCUUAUGCGGCAACAGUGAAUAAUGUGGCUACAGAGACAGUUCAGGAGGGACCAGAGAUCAUGAUGGGUACGUUCAGCAUCAACUCUAUCCCUGCUACAGUUUUAUUUGAUUCUGGAGCUUCGCAUACAUUCAUAUCACAAGCAUUUGUUAGAGUUCAUAGCCUUCCACUAGUUGCAAUGAAAACUCCUAUGCUAGUUAAUUCACCGGGUGGGACUAUACCAGUUUCUUUAUGUUGCCCCUCAGCAAGUCUUUCUUUAAGGGGGGUAGAUUUUCCUAUCAGUCCCAUGGUUAUGAGAACUUCAGGCAUAGAUGUGAUCUUGGGUUUGGAUUGGAUGAAGCAACAUGAAACAAAUAUUAAUUGCAAAGAGAGAGUAGUGGCUCUGACAACACCAAAGGGAGAACGAAUCAGUGUUAAUGUAACAGUGCAAGCACCACUCACAGCCAAGGUGAACCAACUGAAUGAAGAUGUUGAUCCUCAGAAUUUGGUAGUGGAUGAGUUUCCGGAUGUCUUUCCAGAUGAAUUGCCAGGUAUGCCACCUGACCGAGACAUUGAAUUUAUUAUUGAAUUACUACCUGGUACUGCACCCAUAGCUAAAAGACCAUAUAGAAUGGGGGUUAAUGAACUAGAAGAACUUAAGAAACAAAUUAAGGAAUUGCAAGAUAAAGGGUUCAUUCGCCCUAGUUCAUCACCAUGGGGUGCACCAGUUAUCUUUGUUGAUAAGAAGGAUGGUAGUCAGCGGAUGUGUGUGGAUUAUCGGUCACUUAAUGAGGUUACUAUCAAGAACAAAUACCCAUUGCCUAGGAUUGAUGACUUGUUUGAUCAACUAAGAGGUGCUUGUGUGUUCUCUAAGAUUGAUUUGCGUUCUGGUUAUCAUCAAUUGAAGAUUCGGAAUUCAGAUAUACCAAAGACAGCUUUCACAACAAGGUAUGGGUUAUAUGAGUAUACAGUUAUGUCUUUUGGUUUGACCAAUGCACCAGCUUACUUUAUGUACAUGAUGAAUAAAGUAUUUAUGGAGUAUCUUGAUAAGUUCGUGGUGGUCUUUAUUGAUGAUAUUCUGGUAUUCUCUAAAACCAAGGAAGAACAUGCUGAACAUCUGAGAUUGGUCUUACAGAAACUUAGAGAACAUAAGCUGUAUGCUAAGCGUAGUAAAUGCGAGUUUUGGUUGGAGGAAGUUUCUUUUCUUGGUCAUGUUGUCUCUAAUGGUGGUAUUGCAGUGGAUCCUAGUAAGGUGAAAGAUGUGUUGAAUUGGAAACCACCUACAGAUGUAAGCGAAAUUCGCAGUUUUCUUGGUCUAGCUGGUUACUAUCGUAGAUUCAUUGAAGGGUUCUCAAAACUUGCAAAGCCUAUGACUGCUUUGUUAGAGAAGAAUGCUAAGUUUGUAUGGUCUGAUAAGUGUCAAGCUAGUUUUGAGGAGUUUAAGAAGAGAUUGACUACUGCACCUGUGUUGGUAUUGCCAGAUCUGAGUAAGAGUUUCUCUAUCUAUUGUGAUGCUUCUCGUCUGGGUUUGGGUUGUGUUCUUAUGCAAGAAGGUAGAGUUGUUGCUUAUGCAUCCAGACAGUUGAGGAAACAUGAACUGAAUUAUCCUACUCAUGAUUUGGAGUUAGCAGCUGUGGUUCAUGCACUCAAGAUUUGGAGACACUAUUUGAUUGGGCAUAAAAGUGACAUAUAUACUGAUCAUAAGAGUUUGAAGUAUAUCUUCACCCAGACCGACUUGAACUUGAGGCAACGAAGAUGGUUGGAACUGAUAAAGGAUUAUGAUUUGGAAGUGCAUUAUCAUCCUGGGAAGGCGAACGUCGUAGCCGAUGCACUUAGCAGAAAGAAACAUGCUAAUGAGCUUCGGGCGACACCUGAAUCUGAAGAGUUGUGUGCUGAAUUUGCAUAUUUGAACUUGGGGAUCGUAGUAAAUGCUAUGGAGAUUGAGGUCACUCCUACUUUAGAGGAAGAGAUAUUGAAAGGACAGUUGGAAGAUGAGAAACUGAAGGAGAUAGCACAGAAUGUGGUACUAGGCAAAGCACCAGGAUUCAGAAUAGAUGACAAUGGUGUACUAUGGUUUGGACAAAGGAUAUGCGUUCCAGAAGUGAAGGCUAUUCGUGAUAUGAUUCUGAGAGAGGCUCAUGAGUCAGCGUAUUCCAUUCAUCCUGGUAGUACUAAGAUGUAUCUAGAUCUGAAACAGAAGUACUGGUGGUAUGGCUUAAAGAGAGAUGUGGCCGAAUAUGUUGCUUUGUGUGAUACUUGUCAGCGAGUGAAGGCUGAACACCAGAGGCCAGCUGGACUGUUGCAACCAAUGAAGAUUCCUGAGUGGAAGUGGGAGGAAGUAGGCAUGGAUUUCAUAGUGGGUUUACCACGUACACAGAGAGGAUAUGAUUCAAUAUGGGUAAUAGUGGAUCGAUUGACUAAAGUUGCUCACUUCUUGCCAGUCAAAACCACUGAUUCAGGAGCUCGACUAGCAGAGUUGUAUAUGGAGCGGAUAGUUUGUUUGCAUGGAGUGCCUAAGAAGAUUGUAUCUGAUAGAGGCACCCAGUUUACCUCUAUUUUUUGGAAAGCAGUGCAUGACUCAUUGGGAACCAAGUUGAAUUUCAGCACCGCGUAUCAUCCACAGACAGAUGGACAGACUGAGAGGAUCAAUCAGAUAUUGGAAGAUAUGUUGAGAGCUUGUGCCUUGCAGUAUGGGACUAGUUGGGAUAAGAGUUUGCCAUAUGCAGAAUUCUCCUACAACAACAGCUAUCAACAAAGUCUUAAGAUGGCACCGUUCGAGGCACUAUAUGGUCGGAAGUGCAGGACACCUUUGUUUUGGAAUCAGACAGGAGAAACUCAGGUGUUUGGUACGGAUGUGCUUAGACAUGCAGAACAACAAGUGCGAACCAUCCGGGAUAAUCUGAGAGUUGCUCAGUCUCGUCAGAAAAGUUAUGCAGAUACACGUAGGAGAGAACUAGCUUUCGAGGAAGGUGAUUAUGUCUAUCUAAAAGUGUCACCUAUGCGGAGUGUGAAGAGGUUUAAUAUGAAGGGAAAGCUAGCUCCAAGGUAUGUUGGUCCGUUUAAAGUUUUGCAAAGGUGUGGAGAAGUAGCGUAUCAGUUAGAGUUGCCUGAAAGUUUAUCUGGCGUGCACGAUGUGUUCCAUGUGUCACAACUCAAGAAGUGUUUGCGUGUACCUGAGGAGCAAUUACCAUUGGAAGAACUUUCUGUUAAAGGUGAUCUCACUUAUGAGGAGUAUCCGGUCAAAAUAUUGGAGACAGCUGAGAGAGUCACCAGAAGUCGGGUCAUCAGAAUGUGCAAAGUACAGUGGAAUCGACAUUCGGAAGCAGAGGCAACUUGGGAAAGAGAGGAUGAUCUGAGGAAGUCAUACUCAUAUCUAUUCGAGUAAGCACCGUUCAAUCUCGAGGACGAGAUUCUUUUAAGGGGGGUAGAGUUUGUAACACCCAAAAUUUGAUUUUCAAAUAAUAGGAUUUAAUUUAAUUUAUUUAAGUACUUUUGUGGGCAUAGAAAUCUAGCAACUAAAUAAUUAUGUGGGAAUUAAAAUUCAGUAUAGGUUUAGCAACCUUGAUUGAGCAUUCAUGCUGGAGCAUCUUUAUUUAUUUGUGCUGCUGGUAUAUGUUGGAUUUUAUUUGCUCUCAAAAUUUGAUUUUAAAAGGCUUUGGAAAAUUAAAAAAAAAAAGAAAAAAAAAAACAGCCGGACUCGGCUUGGUGGCCAAUUGGCCGUGAGGCCCAAACUGGCCAGCAGCGCGCGCACUCUCUCCCUCUCCCUCCUUUCUUUGGCUGACGGUUGGGGCCCCCACGUCAGCGCCCUUUCCUUCUUCCUCCCUGCCGUGCUCGAGCAGGAAACGAUUCCUCACCGAAUCGGAUCCGCGGAUCCCGCGAUUUCCUUGCCAAGCGCGCAAUCCGACCACUAUAAAGCUUCUAGCAUCGCUCCCUCGACAUGUUUUCGCAUCUAGGUCGCCAAAACCGAGUCCCCGUGCCUUGUUUCGCGAGUUCUGGAUCUCGCCGGGAGCUCUUUCCGCCGCCGCGCGUGGACACGCCCCUCUGCUAGCUCUCGGCCCGAGCCAAGCCCCCAGCUUCGUUCGCGGUGAGCUUCUCGCCCUCCCGGUAUUUUCCUUUCAAAAAACGGUGCUCGGAAAGGAGAAGCCGAGGAGCUCCGGCGAGUUUUCGCUCUCUGGCCAUGGCGGCCACCGCAUCGGACAGGGAGAGGCCAGCCGGCCACCGCCAAGGACCCCAGGAGCAGCUCGUGACCAUCCAACCGACGAUCAACGGCCGAGAUUAGAACAUACCUGUUCGCAGGGAAUUUUCAUAAAGAGUCCCUGGAAAGAUUGGUUAAUUACCCCGCGGUCCCUGGCGCCCUGGCACAGAUUACGUUUCCUUUGAUUGAAAGCGUAUUCCUGUCUGUUCAACUUGGUUUAUGUUUUCAGCUAAUUACAGAACUGCCACUGAACUUAGAUAGCUUAUAAAAUAUUCAUUUUAACUCUGUUUUUGUCCAUUCAAAUUGCGUUAGGUUCGUAAUUAUAUGCUCUACAUGAUAGAACUAUUUAUUCUCUGUUUUGAAACUUUUUAAUUUUCUGGUACUAUUUAAUUAAUUAUUUCUCUAUAGGAAAUCUUAGAAAAUUCAUAACUUUCACGUUUUAAUUCCGAUUUUCGUGAACUUUACGUUUGUGUGAUCGUAGCGCUGCGUAGAAUAUUUUGAUAAACUUUUAUAUUUGUUUUACCACUGUUUGGUGUAAUGUUCUAAUUAUACCUUGUUUGCUUUGUGUAUGAUUGUCUCCAUUGGAUUGCGUGUUGUUGAUUGAUGUUUGGGAAUAGACGGUGAGCUGUACGUUGGUGAUCAAGACCAAGCUUUUGAGGACCAGCAGGCUCAGGAGAGCUUUGAGCAAGGCAAGUAUAACUUGGGACCAUCCUUGUUACCUAUUCACUUAUAACUACAUAUAUAUAUCAUAUGCAUGCUACCACCUUGAUGACCGUAGCAAAAUCAUAGAUGAUUGUUAUCCUGAAUUCCUUGUUACCUAUUUGGAUAUGCAUUUGGGAAGUUCUUGCUAGUGCUUGAUUAAUAAUCCAUGAUCUUGUAACAUGAAUAUUUGAAUAUACAAUAAACAAUAAAAUAAGCUUUCUAGCAACUUGAAUAUAAAGGGUGGAAAGAACUCUAGCUUUUGCUGGAUUGAUCUUGACCCUCCAUAAGGACUUAUCCCUUGGCAAAAGCUGGGACAACUCGUACAACCAUGAGGGCUAUAUGGCUCUGGCUUUAGUCAAGUAUGAGUAAGCUUUUCUAGCUUGUUAGAGGUUACCCGAAAGGGCGGAGGGGCUGAACCGUUUUGGGUAUAGUGCGAGCCCCUGUCCUUAUGUGUAUAGGCUGCGCGUCAUUGUGCCAUUCGGAAGGGGGGUAUCUAUAUCUGCGCGCAAAGGAAACCUUGCGGCCCUAACUUGUUAGACGAACCUUUGAAAGACUUCAUAGUGAACCCUGCCGGUUUUCCUUGGAAGUGAGCUAAGAGGUCGACGGGCCUCGGGCAAAAGGGUAAAUCACGACUCAUGGGUAAAGAUGUACAACCUCUGCAGAGUGUUAAAUCUGGUAUACUAGCCGUGCCCACGGAUACGGGCGGCCCGGAAAACUGACGGAAUAAACGGACACUGAAGAACGUGAAUAAUGAUAAUAAAUGAUGGUUUAUUAUGUUGUUUAUAUGUGUUAUUCUUAAUUCUUGUAUACAUUGAUCAUGUGGUUAUGGGAUUUAAUUAUGCUACCUUGACAUUUGCUAUCCAAUGAUUAAAUAUGUUAUCAACUAUUAAAAGCUAAAUGCAGUCAAACCAGUGUCAGCUAUUUGAGCCUCAUGAACCCCUGGUUAUACUUGUUGAGUACGAUAUGUGCUCACUCUUGCAAUUUCCCAACACCCCAGGAUAUGAUAAUGAAGGUGACUGGAAUGAGGAUUAUCGUUAUGAGUACUAGGUUUGGAGUCAACCAGUCAACAGUGUCCCUGUGUGGAGCUUCCGUCGAGAGCGUUGUUUAAUAUUAUUAUCAUUUUUGUGUAAGACUAUGUGAUUUAUUAUGUUCCGCUAUGUAAUAAACACUGCAAUGGUACAAUUGAGAUUUGUCUACUUAUGUGUGCGACUAUUCCUGGGGCACAUAUGAGUCUUUUAUGCAUCCUAUUUUGUUCUUAAAAUAUGGGUGUGACAAAAAGCCUAACAUUCUAGCUAGAGUUCAAAUUUUGUACCAUAAAAUUUGUCAUUUUAGUCUAGUUAGGGCAGUCUUAAUGCAUAGUUUCAUCAUUUCUUAAAAUGUCACAUCAGUUUUACAGGCUUUAAUUAAUGAAUGAAACAAAUGUUUGAUAUAGCCCCAUUUUAGAGAUAACACCUAUAAAUAAAUAUCAAAGCUAGCGUGUAGCGUGCAGUGACACUGUAGUGUGCAAAGUGAGGCUGGGGGUGAACGACCAUAGUAUAUAAUAAUAAUAAUAGACUUAAUAGUAACAACUAUGGAUUAAUCCAGUUACUUUGGAGAAAAGAAAUGCUAAGCCGGCCGGGCACUUUCUGUAAAGCUUCCUUUCCUAAAGCAAGCUAUAGCAGCACACUGACACACUAUAUGCGGAUGCAUGCAUAGACGCAAAAUGAGCUUGUGCAUACUACUAUAUGCUAUAUUUAUAUGUUCCAUGAUUGACCUGAUCAUGUGAUGUGAUAUUUGCCAACUGACUUGACACGAUCUCUAAACCUCACAUUUUGUUUUUAGUUUCUCAUAGUAUACUAUAAGUUCGUAUAUCUCUACACCGUACCAAAAAUUUUGAUGAGAUGCAUGCAUGAAUGAUAAGCAUGAGAUUGAAAUAACAAAAAGGGGCAUGGUUUAACGGAAAUUAGUUGUUUGGUCUCUCAUAUGAUGUUUAGUAAUAUCAUGAAAAUGUUAAUUUGGGUUCAAUAAUUGUAAAAAAUAGCAAGCAUGUGUGUUGAAUAAAAGAUGAGACAUAAGUAAUUGCAUAUGGAAUGGCCUCGCUCAUGAACUUGCUUGAUCAAAUCAAGAAGUUGAAGAUGGUCCUCAUGCUCAUUGGUUGAUAUUGAAUCUUGGCUGAUUGCAAGAUGGUUAUUGUAGAAGAUAUUCAAGCAAGAGUGAUAUUAUUGAUGAAAUGAUUGGUAAUGGAUGCUUAAAUUUGAUUCAAGACACGUGUGACUUGAGGAUAUGGUUUGAUAGAGUGAAGAUAACAAGGAAAGAGAGCGUCGAGGCAUGAAACAAAGAGUAUGGUUUCAUAUAGUGAAGAUAUAUAGCAAGAAAAAAGCUUCAAGGCAUGAAGCAAAGGCAAAGGGAAAGUUAUGGAUUGGGCAUUGAGGUACCAUGGCUAAGGUGAAGAAGUGAGUAUUUGCUUUUGGUUGAGGCAUGAAUCGAGUUACUUUUGUGGAGGAUCAAACCAGUCCCGAAUCCGCCUAUAAAAAAGUGACUUAUGGAUGAAAGGUGAGUUUUGCCCAUACGGGCCUUGUUUAGUUCCGAAAACUGAAAAGUUUUCGGAACUGUAGCACUUUCGUUUUUAUUUGACAAACAUUAUCCAAUCAUAGAGUAACUAGGCUUAAAAGAUUCAUCUUAUGAUUUAUAUGUAAACUGUGCAAUUAGUUUUUAUUUUCGUCUAUAUUUAAUACUCCAUGCAUGUGGCGUAAGAUUCGAUGUGACAGGAAAUCUUGAAAAGAUUUUAGUUUUUGGGGUGUACUAAACAAGGCCACGAUCUGAAAAAUCCUAAGUUGGUGGGCAUGCUCGCUCUGAAUGGUGAAAAUCCAAGUGACGACAAUAUAAUAUUUGAAGAAUGACAGGUUCAAGUGGGAUUUAAUUGCAUAUCUUUAAAUCUUGAAUAAAUGUAGAUAUACUAUUAAGAGGGAUGUAACACUAAGUGGUAGGUGUCAUUUGAGGCCUAGAAAUGCUCAAAAGAACCCAAGCGAGAAAUCCAAGUGCUGAAGAUAGAAAUGAGAUUUAAGUGGUCGAAGACCGGGAAAAUCGACUAGCCAGUUUUGCCUGUGAGUUCAAAUCCUUUCCUAACGGCUAUUUUUGCAACAAAAAAAAAACUAAGUGAGGGAGGGAGAAAGAUGAACACGAAGGUGACGGAGCAUAGAGACAAUAGAGAGGAAAGGGAUUUGAGAGAAUAAAAUAGUCUUCUCUAGCUCCAUUAACAGAUGCUUCACGGUAUAUUAUAUUGAUGGAAGUGGCAAACGCGAGGGUCAAAAACAUUGAAGUAAUGGGUACGUACGUUAAGAGGGACACUGCCACACGUUCGGGCAUUAGCACCGGUCGGGAAGGGCCUGUUGUCCCGGUUCCCGAGCCGGUGCUGCCCUUCCGGGACUAAAGGCCCACCCUUUAGUCCCGGUUCAGACAACCGGGGCUAAAGGCCCCCCUUUAACACCGGUUGGUAAUACCAACCGGUGUUAAAGGGUCCUGCCAGAGUUGCCACGUUGCAGGACCCUUUUACCAACCGGUGUUAAAGGGUUUUCUUUUUCUUUUUUUUUGGUUCACUUCUUCGGUUCUGUUUAUUGUUUAUAUAUAAUAUAUAAUAAUAGGUUUUUCAAUACAUGUUUUUCUGAUACAAUAAUAUAUUUAUAUUAAGCAUAUUAAGCAUAUAUAAAUGAAAAUUAUAGGCUUAGCUUAAUAAUUAAGCUUUGCCUAUAAUAAAAUGAAUAGACCACAUCAAAAAUUAAAUAGAUAUGUAAAAAGCUUUAUAUAUAUAUAUAGUUUUAUAUGUACAAAAUUCGUAACACAUAUAUACAUAGAGUUUUUUCUCCUAAUGUCUACAAACGAUACAAAUGAUCAUCGUUGUUUGGAAUAAGAGUUUCGUUGCCGUUGAAGUGAAACUCGCCGUUUGGAUUGAUCACUUGUUCGCGGAGAAAUCCUGCUAUCGUCUCUUGGAUAGCUUUGAUUCGGUCUUGUUGUAGGACCUUUUUCCUCAGCCAUUCCGUCUUUAAUUUGAAAUAAAUAAAAAAGGUAUUAGUUAUCUAAGUUAUUCAAUAUAAUUCAGGAGAUAAUAAAAAGAGACAUGUAACAUACUCUGAGCGUCUCUAUGUGUGUUUGAUUGACUUGUGCCAUCAUGAAUUUGCACACGUAAUAUGCACAUAGAUUGUUCCCCCCUUCUUGUCUUAAACACCACUGUACGAUAUAUAUAUAAAAAUAUUCACGACCACGACAAUAAGAAGGCUAAAAGUUAGCGAAAGUUUGUUAGCUAGUAGAACUUACUUGUGGAUGUAUUAUGUUAAGCGGCGCUUUACAUCCACUGAGAUGUUCACGGUCAAUGAAUCUUUCCAUUGUGGAUCGUGAACUAAUAAUUACAGAGUCAUAUUAUGAUAUUUUUAUAGCUGAGAUCGACAGGGUGUCUCAGCAUAUUGUCUAUCUUACGGUCUUCUUUAUGCCACCGCAACAACUUUGCAUUGUCCUUAUUUCUGAACAGACGUUUUAAUCGUGGUAUUAUAGGAGCAUACCACAUAACCUUGGCUGGAAUUUUCUUCCUAUGACGUUCUUCACCCUCAACAUCGCCAGGAUCAUCUCGUCUAAUCUUAUACCGUGAUGCCUUACAUACUGGACAUGCAUCCAAAUUCUCGUAUUCCUCCCCACGGUAGAGGAUGCAGUCAUUAGGACAUGCGUGUAUCUUCUGGAUUUCUAAUCCCAAAGGGCAGACAACCUGUUUUGCUUCAUACGUAGUGGUGGGCAAUUCGUUGCCUUUCGAAAGCAUCUUUUUUAUGAUCUUCAAUAACUGCCCAAAUGCCUUGUCAGAUGUACCAUUCUUUGCCUUCCAUUGCAGCAAUUCUAGUGUGGUACCCAGCUUUUUUUGCCCCUCUUCAGCGGUGGGAUAUAGCGAUUUCCUGUGGUCCUCUAGCAUGCGCUCGAACUUGGCUUUCUCUUUAUCACUUUCACAUUCUCUUUGUGCAUCACGGAUGGCAUCACCAAAAGCAUCAUCGCCCCGAUCAUCUUCUGCCGCCACCUCUUCUUCAUUAUCUCCCCCCAUUGCAACAUCAUUGAAGCCACCGUACUGAGCAAUAAUAUUGACAUGGUCCAAUUCUUCUUCUUCUUCUUCUUCACCUUCAUCCAUUAUAAUCCCGCUUUCUCCAUGUUUGGUCCAACAAAUAUAGUUUGGUACGAAUCCUGACUUUAAUAAGUGUGAAUGAAGAGUUCUUGAGUUAGAAUAUUCCGUCAAAUUCUUGCACACGGCACAUGGACAGCACAUGAAACCGUCCCUCUUAUUUGACUCAGCCACACUUAAGAAAUAGUGCACACCAUUAAUGAACUCUUCGGAGCGCCGAUCGGCAUUAUACAUCCAAUUACGUGUUACCAUCUGCAUUAAAUAUAACAUAUAUAUUAUGAAAACCAUGCACACAUAUAGUUUCUCAUUUUAUUGCACAACAUGUCUAAGAUACAUAGUUGAUUAAUUUAGGAAAGCUUGGCUACAACAAAUACAAUCGCAACUAGCACUAAAAAAACCAAAACUAAAAUGCACUUAAGCAACAUAAUUAGUUCGCGUCCGAUCCCAACUAUAAUAGAUAGAUCAUUCGCUUGAUCAACAUCAUUGAACUCCUUUCGUCGGCUCACUGCCUCACCACCUUCAUCCUCAACCACCUGUGCAAAAGAUUUCUUAAUGUGUUCAAUGUAUUCUUCCUCCCAGUACCAACCUGUACAUCCGCCGGUACCAUCCCACUGAAAUUAAAAGAGAGAAUCAAAAGUUUAAUUAAUAUCAUUUAAAAAAAUAUGCACAUAUAUAAGCAAAUGUCUGUAAAUAACUCACAUUACGAUCUGGACACUUGUAGAAUAUACGACCCUUGUUUACUCCCUCUUUCGACACUUUGUACUCCAUCAAAAUCUUCUGCCCACACUUGCCACAAGUAAUGAGAGGGAGUUCCGGACGGUAUCGCUUUUGAACCCGUUGAGAGACCGAAGACCCGGUCACGGUUGCCAUCUACUAUCCAUACUCAAUUUUUAAACAAUUAUAAAUUCCACAUUUAAACAUGUAUGAUAAAAUGGACAUUAUAUGUAGUAAUAAAAAUAAAUCAAGUGAUAUUAACAAACCAAUUAAUUUGAACUAUCCUACUUUCUAAUAUCAUAAAAAUAUACUAUAAUUCAUUCUUGCAAACUACAUUAAUACUAGGUCAACCAUGAAAUAUGAUAUAUAUAUAUGGAUACUAAUUCAUGUGAAAUGAUUCUAAAUAACAACGUGAAUUUGAGCUAAAAAUAAUGGGAACAUCACAAGCCAAAAACAACAUGAAAAAGACAAGAAAGACAAAAGUUAGUCACCUCUAAACACGAAGAAACGAUGACGGAGUCGAAGAAGAUCAACAAUGGGCGUCGGAGACGAAGAACAAAUGAGGAAGAAGAAGCUCCAAGAACAACAAUGGUGAAUGGUGCUCUCGGUUUCAAAUGGACAGAGAGGAGAAGUGAUCCGGCCUAUAAACCGGACCCUUAGAACCGGUUCACAAACAAAACCGGUGCUAAAGGGUAACACUUUAGCACCGGUUUGUAACACAAACCGGUGCUAAAGGCUUUGCCUCGGCCCGUGGCGCUGGCCGGUGCUAAAGGGGACCCUUUAGCACCGGUUGGUAAUACGAACCGGUGCUAAAGGGUCCCCGCCCCGACAGCACCUGCCAGUAACCGUUGGGCAGGACCCUUUAGCACCGGUUCGUGUUACGAACCGGUGUUAAAGGGGUCAUUAACCCCGGGGCGCAAAAAGGCCGAGGUUUUUGGCCAUUUUGGGCAUCGACCAAUGCCUCAUUCUGUAGUAGUGGGAUCACAACUUUUAUAGUGGUGGAUCCGGGAUUUACAACUUCUUUAGCUUAAGAGGGAGUAUAUGCUAUCAGCAGUAGUGGUGUACUUUCCUUGCACUUAGUAUAUAUGAUUAAAUCUGUGUGGCGCAAUUGGGGCCGAUCAAGUGACUUUGUGUGCAAUAAUUAUGCUGGAGGGGAUGAUUAUGACGAGCAUAUGCAUUGAAAUAAGGGCUAGCGCGCAAUCUAUUCGCUAUUGUCGAACUGGAAGUGGGUACUUUGAGUUCACGUUCCAUUUAUAUCUCCAUAUUUUAUUGUUAGUUGCAUUGUUUGACGUUGUUUGUCUAGUCUAGUUAGAGCACGCUAACGGGCACUGAUAUAAUAUUUAUAUAUUAUAUAUGUGUAUGGUGUUUACAUAGGUUGGUGUGAUAUAUAUAUAUAUAUUUACAUCCAUUCCAAGGUAUCAUUUCUAAUACAUCUGUUGGGCAAGCUCGUACACAUUGAGUGCAUCCUAUACAUGUAUCAUAAAUUUUUACAGAAUGUGACAUUGGAUCUCUAAAUUUGCCUUUUCAACAUAAAAAUUUUCGAUCUGGUAAAAAUGAAAUUAGUACUAUAUAAAUUAGAUGUAUUGUAGACACCAGACGAAGCAAUGGUUUAUCCAAACUUUAACAAAUAAUGCAAUAUAUUUCGUAAUCUGUUUGUGAGAAAGCGUGAAAAGAGCCAAGAGACUUGAAUUUAAGGCUUCAACAGUCAUAAUUAUACGAAUUCUACAUACUAAUUCGAAUUAGCCAAUAAAUUGGCUAUCAUCUUUUCAAUAUAAAUUAUUGCUAUAUUCAAAUUGCAAUAUCAAUGAAUUGCAAAAAUGCAAUAUUCAAUAAGUAAAAAAC